rnacentral:lncRNA from 1 species
ACUUUCGAUAUUGUUCUUUUAUCCAUCUAGUGAACAAAAAAUGAAUGGCUGAAAAUGAAUAUUCUUUAAAAAAUGAUGAUAGGAGUCUUGUAAUCAAGAUCAAGAGUAUAGAUCUUGUUUUAAAUAGUUUAAAGAAUUUUCUAACAAAAAUUCAAUUGAUUUGGAUAUCUUUACACCGUUAAACGAGAAAACGUCUCUUAUCUACCAUUAAAAUUACAAAUUUUGAAACCCUUUGAUCAUUAGGCAAAUGAUGUCGAAAAGAUUUGAAAUUUGAUUUCUAAACACUUCAAGUGGUAUAGAUCAUGUUCAUCGGAGCCGAUCGUCAAUUUGGAAGCUCUAUCAUCGAAAACAACUCGAUAGUAAAACGCCCCGUUUACUAUCGAGAGUAUUCUAGCUCAACUCUAUAUAUAUAUAUAUAUAUAUAUAUUAUGAUCCACACAUAUCGAUAUGUCACAACAUGUAAUGUAAUGAUAAAUUUUGAGCACGAAGCAGUACCAUAUGAUUUUAAUAAAUGUGAGUAGAGUGGAGUAUAGGAGGCGAAAAAAAUAAUGGAGGGAGUUGAAGGAUGAAGUAAUCAAUGGUCGCACUCCAAGAAUUGACUUGCCAGCACGCGUACCACGCGCGUUCGUUGAGAAAACAAGAGGCUGGUGGGCGGCUGAGCAUUGAACACAUGAUGUAAAUAAAUAAAUAAAUAAAUAAAGAAAAAAACUUCAAAUACCCUACUGUAGUUUCGUAGUUUCUCAUUUUAAUACUAUAUGAUUUAAAGUGUAUCAAGUUAGUACUUUAUCGUUUUACACUUUCUCACUUUCGUACCUUGUGGGUUAAAGUGUAUCAAAAGUUAAUACCCUGUGGUUUUGCACUUUUUCACUUUAGUACUCUGUGGUUUAAUAUUUUGUUUAAUUAUAUAAAAAAAACUUCAGAUACUCUACCUAGGUUUAUCGAAUAUUCAUUUUAGUUUCUUUUAGUUUUAACUUUGUCACUGAUUUAAUAAAAAAAAUAUCUCGAAAUGGAUAAUAGAAAGAGAAAAAUAAAACAAUAUGAUACACUUUAAACCACAUGGUUCUAAAGUGGGAAACUGCAAAACCACAGGUAGGGUAUUUGAAGUUUUCCCAUAAAUAAAUGAUCCAUCAUUGAUUACAAUUUUUUUUUUUUAAAAGGAUAAAUAGGAGGAAAGUGAUGAGUGUCAGAUCGUUGGCGCUAAUCAUUAAUCCCACAAGUUCGAACUGUUAGAAAUAUGCAACUAAUCCACUUAAGGCAUAUAGAUACAGCGCCCACAUAUCUCGAUUGUGACUCGGUUCAACCAACCUAACGCCACUUCGAAUAUGACUCAGCCCAUCCAGCCUCACACCAUUUCGAACAUGACUCGGCCUAACAUAGCCUCCCGCCACAGGACAGGGCAGGAUGCUGGUCCAUUUAAGCCAACAGUGAGAAGCUCGUUUUUUUUAAAAAUAAAAAUAAGAACAAAUUGAUUUGGCAUGUGGAUUUAUGUGCGGCUUCUAAGUACCGCACAUUUAGACCAGCCUUUCUGAGUUUUGAUUAGAAAACAGUAAAAUAUUAAUGUAGAUGUUUUAGCCAUGCGUGCUCCUUGCAAGCCUUACUAUUCAGCAUCACGUCUUAUAUUGAAUUGUUCGUUAAACUCCAAAGAGUUCCCAACAAAUAAUUUCUCUAUAGAUCGACCGUCCCUAAAACAAGUGGCAAAAGGUUUGGUGAUUGAUAUCCGAGACUCAAGUUCGAAUCCUAGUUGAUUCUCGUUUCUAGCUAAAUUUAUUUUUAAAUGAAAUAAACAAAGUGGGUAGCGUGUUAGCUAUCUCUCAAAAAAAAAAAAAAAAAUUUCUCUAUAGAGAAGUACAUUUCGUUUCAUAUAUAUCAGACCGACCAUUCUUUUUGCCCUCAAAGCAAGUCACAAAGGACAUCACAAGUUCUUCUCAAAUUAAAUGCCAUCCGACCCACAAACAUCUUUUGUAUUCAUUCAAACACAUUAACGAGUUCCGGAUGUCUUAUGGCACCCUAAAUGGGCUAUAGAUAAAAGUAGAUAAAAAAAAUAUGCAAGUAUUCUUAAAACUUAAUAUAAAUAAAAAUAGGGAAUAUAGAUGCAUGACAGUCUCCAUACCUAAGUAAGAGAAAUAGAAAAAAGAAAAAAGAAAAAAGAAAAAAGAAAAAAGAAAAAGGACUUGAAAUGGUUCUCUAAACCUAAACAUGAACUAUCACAUAAUCAAGCUCAUAGAUGUAAUUAAACACAGGAAAAAGAAAAAGGAAGAAAAGUGUAAACAAAAUCAAUCACCAUAAUCUUGCUCCCAAACAAGCUUGUGAUCUUGAACCACUCUAAAACAAUUACCACUGUUUUUUUGAAUUCAUUGAGCACGAUUUUCGGAACAUAUAUAAGCGCAUAAAAUACCUAAUAAAAAAGAAGAGAAAGUUCUAAGUACAUACAACUAGCCCACACUUCCGGGGACUUCAGCUAUUUUUAACUCUUUUGAGCGUAUAAAAAAAUAUACCACAUAAAUAGGCCACUAUAUAUACUACAAUACAUAGAUGAGCGGCUAAUUCAGGAUCAAUCUAUAGACUCUGAUACUAUUUGUUAGAAAAUUUUGGCUGAGCUAAAGCCCACAUAGAUCCAAGAAUGUGACAUAUCAUUAGAAUCCAAUCAACCAUAAAACUAAAUCCUAUUCGGCAUCAAUUUAGUAGUAUAAAUAAAUCUUUUACCUUUUUUACUACUUGUUAUAGGAUUAUUUAUGUUUGAGCUCUUAGCCAAAAAGAAAUAAAAAAAAUAGCCAAAGAAAGAGAGAAAAGGGCUCUAGGGCCCAAAAAGCCAGAACUAGCCCAAAACACACCAAUUAUAAGCACCUCCCUAAUUUCUAAGAAAGAUAUAAAAAUUGGCCAUUGGGAUCCAGGCUACUUAGACCAUGUAGAACCAGAGAAAAUGCCCCAGCAUAAUGUACAAAAAAAAAAAAAAAGUUUCUUUUGUUUUGUUUUUUCUUUUAUUGAGAGAGAGAGAGAGAGAGAGAGAGAGAGAGAGAGAGAGAAGGAGCAUAUUUUAAGAAUAAAUACAUAUAUAAAUGUGAAGUAACCUUUAGGCUUAGUUUGGUUCGUAAAUUAGUAGGAACUAGUUAUUUCAGGGAUAGGUAUAAGUAUGGAUUUUUGUAAGAAUCAGGGUAUUUUUUUUAUUUGGAUUAAAAUAUUAGUAUAAGCUGGAACUAGAAAAAUUGUAUUUGGAUAGUUAUUUGGAAUAAGAAAAAUAGUUGAUGAUUAUAAAUAGAAAAUAAUGAUAUUAUUCCUAUAAUUGAAUUUAAAAAUUUAAAUUUAUAAAUUUUAAAAUUUAAAUUUAUAAAUUUUAAAAUUUAAAUUUAAGACCAAAUUUAAAUUUGAAAUAGUUAAAAUAUCACAGUUAAAAUUUAAAAAUUUGUAAUAUCAAAUUUAAAUUUUAAACUUUAAAAUUUAGAAUUUAUGAUUUACAAUUUUAAUUUUAAAAUUACAUAUUUUAAAUUCUAAAAAAUUUAAAUUCUAUUUUAAAACAAACCUCACUCACUCACUCUCUCUCUCUCUCUCUCUCUCUGUACCCAAGUGGGUGGGAACAAGCUUGUUCCUAAGCUUGUUCCCACUCGGGAUGAGAACUAUAGUUCCCAUCCUUAACGGGUUAUUUCUAGAAUAAUCCGUAUAGUUCUCACCUUAACCAAAUUGCGUUUGGGUACAAGAUGGGGUAUAAAGCCUUUAUACCCCAUCUUAUAUUCAAUCCAAACGGGGUGUUAGGAUUCACAAAAUUCUUUUUAGUAUUAAAAGAAAAAAAGUUAAUAAUACUACUACGAAAAUAGUAACCUUUAUUAGUGAGUGGAGAGUAAUUCUUGCACGCUAAACAAGUGUAUAACUUACCUGACCUAAUGUAUUAUCUUGAAAUUCAAAAUUUUGAAUUUACUAUUUAAUCUUUCAAUUUGUUUGAUUUAAGUCAGUUGGCGACCUUUAAUCUCAAAAUUUAAGUUAACUGUUCACUUUAAUAAAAUUAUAGUAGCGAGAAUUAUAUGAAGUAUACUAAUUGAACUGGUAAAGAUAACGGCGUAUUCAAAAUUUGAAAUUAAAGUAUUGCUGACAGAGUCAAUCAAACAAAUUAACAGAUUGGACAAUAAAAUUAAAAUUUUAAAAGAUUUGAUAGUCAAUUUAAAAUGGUCUAUAAUUGAGAUAUGUUCUGUACAUUUUACCUUCUUACACCUGUUGUCUAUUUGUUUCACUGAAAAUGAAAUUUAGAUUGAAGUAGGCUUUUGAAUGAAACUGAAAUUCAAAUAAAAAAUAAUUUUCUUUUGAUAUUUAUUUGUAUGGUGGUGGAACUAAAUUUUUUUUUCAGUUCUGAUAUUUAUUUGAAAGAAAGCGAAUGGCACGGAAACGUUAAAGGUGUGAAAUAUGAGUUAGUAUUUUAUUUUUUUUUCAACUUUUUGUUUUCAUAAUUGAUUUUGGCCUGAGUUGGGCUAAAGUUAAUUACUAGAGUUUAAAUUUUGACGAAAAUAAAAUUACAGUUAAAUAAAUAAUAAGGGUUAAUUUUAUACAGAUCCUUAUAAAUAUAGUGAAUUACAAAUAUAUCCCUAUAAAGUUUAAUUUUUAAAUAUUGUCGUUAUAAAAGUCUUAAUAUUUUCAAAUAUGUCCCUCUGGUUUGUUACUAUUAAAGUCCAUUUAUUUUAUAAGUGAAAUGACCUUUUUGUCAUCACAAAUUUGCCCUUCAAAAAGUCCCAAUUAUUAUUAAUUUAAGAUAGAUAAAAAGGUCAAUUCAUCUCAUUAACUAAUCAAGAUUAAGUAUUUAGCCUAUGGUUAACUAAAUUUUUUUAACAGCAAGAAUAUAUUUGAAAAAAUCAUGACUUUUACAGAAACAAUAUGUGAAAAAUAAAUUUUGUAGAAAUGUAUUUGUAAUUUAUUAUGUUUAUAUGGACCUGUAUGCAAUUAACCCGAAUAACAUGUCUUUCCAGUUUUGGAGUGAAACAAGGAAGGCAUCGCUCUUUUUCUUGAGCCAAACGUGAGACUGCCUUCUGCGUCGAGCUGAACAAGGAAGGCAGGCGGCUCGAUCAUCCGACUGCAAAUCGUGCUGUCUUCCUUCCCAUCCGACGCCCACCGUCGCCAUCGCAAGGUCAGACUACCCUGCCCAACUCCAUCAUCUCCUAAACCUUUCUAAUAGAAUAUGGAAGGGAAAAAGCUAGGAAGCUUCAUGCCUUUUAUUAAUGGUUGAUUCAUAAAUUAGGGUUUAGAAUUUUGAGUUUCUCUCAUGUAAUCUUUGGGUCGUCAUCCAAAUUGAACUCUAUUUAGCUUUUGUGUUGAUGAUGUGAGUACACAAUUUUGCUUAUCUGUAGUUGAUCCUGCUGUUUUUAGGGUUUUGGAUUUGUGUUUUUCUUGUGCAAUAUAAUAUUUGGCUCAUCAUGUAAAUCGGAUUCUAUUUAGCUUUUGUCCAAUGUAAUUGCGUAAUUUUGUUUAAACUUAGUUGGAGAUGAACAAAUUUUGAGUCUAAUUCCUGCUGUUUUGAGCUCUAAUUAUAAUUAAUAGGUUUUAGGCCUCAUUUGGCAUCAUUGCCCCCUUUUUUUUUUCCGAUCUUAUUUUGUUGAAACACUAAUUUCAUAUAAAAAAGUCGUCAUGAUUGGUUAGCUUGUAAUAAUACACUUCGGUCGAGUAAUGGAUGACAAAAAUCAUGGAAAAAAAAGAAGUUGUUUCUAAAUUUUUGUUUUUUUUUUUUUGCCCAACAAAUAUAGUGAAUGUAAGAAUUGCAAGCAAUCCACUAUCUCUUUCUGUACUAUUUCAUGUAAAAAUUCUAUUUUUUAAAACAUAGAGAAAAAAAUGGCAACGGUACCAAACAAAUGUUUUUCAUUGUUUUUCUUGGUAAUUCUAAUUUGCUAAACUAAAGCCUAGUUUGGGAAUGUAAGGCCUAGUUCAUUGCACCAAAAUAGUUGUAGAAGCGCUUUAUAGCUUCUCUCUUCCGAUGCGGUGGGAACAGUCGCUGAAGAAGCAUUUGGCGAUGGUGGUUCCUGCCGCCAUUUUAAAGUAUAGGAGAAGGGAAGUUCCGAAGCAGUUUCAAAUUUUUUGUUUGCGCCUCUGAAGUGUGAAAGUGGAUGUGCUUGGCCACCACAUUUUCAUUUAUAUAUAUGCAUUGAUUUGAGCCACACAUUUGUUCAUAUAUCUUAUUAAGCGGCAUUUUAUCUUAAAUAAAGUGAAAAUGUGUGCAUAACUGCAUGAUUUUCCCUAGCACUUAGGCUUCAGGAGUCCUUUGCGCCUUUAAAACUAUGUUUUUGAACUGAAUAAGAUGGGGCUUCCUUUACUUUUAUUCGUAUUUUAUUUUCUUUACUAUUCUCGUUUAAUUUUAUGCCGAAUUUCGGCAAAAGAUUUACCAACUGGGAUAAUUUGACGUUUUGAAUUGCAAAUAGCAUAAAGAUGAAUUAAAGAAAUGAUGGGAUGAGAGUGACAAGGAAGGAAAAUAUUUGGUAAAUUUACUGAAAAGCAUGUCAGGUAAAUGUAGUGCAGAAGAGCAUUCAACCAAUGUGCUUUGUUUUCGUUCCAUUUGUCAUUUGUUUUAUGUUUGUUUGCUUAUUUGAUAUGAGGAUAAUGGUGCCUUGAUACUUGAUUGCUUUUAAUGAAAUCGUUGGACUCUAAAUGUUGCAGUGUUUUGAAUACAAGUUAAUCCAUCAUUGUCUCUUACCUCAAGAUCCUAAAAAGCAAGCCUUGAAUCAUCAGGUAAUAAGUGAAAGCCAACACCAACCUUCUUGGGCAUUGCAUUAUAAGUUGCAAAAUAUAUUUUUUACCCAAAAUAAUUUGCUGUUUUCUUUUUCCCAAAUAUGUGUUGCAUGCGCACAGAUAGUAGCUAAUAUCGAAGGAAAAGGGAGGACAUAGUAGCUGCUAUCAAAGGAAAAGGGAGGACCGAAAGAGAUGGUGUCGUACAAGUGGGCGUACAUUCGAAUCAUAACAGGGACUAUCCUCGGCGGAGUCCUCGGCUUCUAUGUCAUGCACCGGGUUGAGAAGAGUUACAAGGCAAAUCCAAAUCCUCUCUUUUAAGUUCCUUUCUCGCUUUGCAUAUUUCCUUUGUUGUUCUGAGGCGGAGUUGUUAUCCAGGAAAAGAUGAAGGAGAGGCUAGCCAAAUACGAGAAUGAGUUGAAGAAAAGGGAACAACAGCAGCAAAAGCAGAAAGAUCAGACUGAGCUUCUCUCCGAAUCAUGAUACUUUUGAGCGUGAUUAGUUUUGCUGCUUUACGAGUGAUCAGAUUAUUUCCAAUGAAGCUGUAAAAUCAGGUCAAAUCCUAAUGCUAUAUUUUCUUUAUUAACUAUGUAGAGAGAGAACAUUCACGAUAUGAUUGCGAUGACAUUGUGGUGUUUUGAAGUUAUGUUAGGUGUUUGAAUGUUUUUUUUUUUCCUAUGCCUAAUAUUGGUGAGUGCUCUAAAUUAUCCUGGGCACUUGCUUUUGAGUGUAACAUCUUCUCUGAAAUAAGAUUACUUCAUUCUUACACCUGCCAUCUGAUGUCUCACUUGUGAUCCCCACAAACUUAUCGGUAUGAUCUGUUUUUGUGAUAGUAGAUUCUUCUGUAGUAACCUAUUUGUGUAUAUGACAGAAUCUUUCGAAGAAUGAAAUUGAUCUUUCCUUGCAUUUCUUUUCUUUCAUUUGAUUUAGUAGUCUGAAAGAAAUCUAUCUUCGUUUACAUAAGUAGCGACAUUAUAUUUCUUUCCUAUUUCUGUUAGUAGAAUUUUUUUGUAUAUUGUUUGUUAUACCUGCAUAUUUAGUUCUUUAGUCCUAUUGUCGGGGAUCAAGAUCCCAGUUUUUGUUAGGUUUCUAGAGUUCCAGUUUUUCGAUGAUGUUGUCUUUCCAUCGAAUGUGGGUAGAGAAGUCCACUGAUGAAUCUAAUUUGAUACUAUGAACUAGCUUUGUUUAGUCUGAAUCAAUCCUCUGAACCUAAGUUUCGACGCAGAGUUCAGACUUAAAACAGUCUUCAGGCCUGUUCUAACUAGAACAUAUCUGAUCAGUUUUGAAUUUCUUUUGGGACCUAGUUUCAGAUUGAUUCCUUAUUGAAACAUUUCAGUUUUGGCAUGGUCUAACCUCUAUGUGAUCCGUAUCCGAUCCGUAGGUGUUCUACAUAUACAGAACAAUUUUGAACAUCUUGCCAUUUAGUGCUGAUCCAAACUUUGCCAUGAAUACAUCCAAUUCUCAGUAUUCUUUUUCUUUUAUGAUGUUUCUUUAACUAUCCAACAUUUGCUUACGAAAAGAUCAUUUUAUCCCUGGGGUUGUCACAUGAUUAAUUAGGGUGUACGUUCAAUCGAUCUCGAGGCCUAUUUAGUUCUUAGAACUCUUGAAUUAUAUUUGCUUAUGCAUAUAAUUAGCGUCGGUGACAAAAUUACCUUGAUUCUACUUUGUUAAUUGUUAUACUUAUUUUGCAGGGAACUUGGAUUCAAAUUUUGUUAUGGCCCUUAAACUUUUUAAGUUUGAUAAAGUUGUUAGGCUUUACUCUGUAUAUAUAUUUACUAGUAAAAGACAAAUUAUUGCCUACACCCAGUGUAUCUACACAAUCAUGUACUAUAUAUAUAUAUAUGUUUGCCGACUAUUCAUCACAUCUAGGAGUGAAAAUUGGAAGUAUAAAAUCGAUGAAGUACACAACAUUGAGUUUGUUACGACUUGAUUUUCCAGUAAUAAUAACUUGUUGGGUUCAAACCAUCUGCUUAAAGUGCUUAAAUUUAAUUAUUAUGAGUCCGGCUACUAUAUUCUUAUGAGUACGAUCGCUUUCGUACUCAUAAGUUGUUUUUAAUGAUAGAGCUUCUGAAUCGACGAUUCAUACCGUUAAACAUUAUCUAGAGCAUUUAAAAUUUUUAGAAAUUAAAUUUUAUAAUUUUUCGAUAUCAUUUACCUUACGAUCAAAAGCUCACAAAAUUGACAAUUUUUAACGACUGGUAUGAGAUAUUUGCUAGUUUAACGGUGAAAAAAAAUCGGAAUAGGUUGAAUUUUUUGAUAGAAAAUUAUAUUCACUAUCUAAAUAAAGAUCAAUAACUCCGAUCUUAAAUUGAAGGAUCCGUUCAUCCAUUUUUAUGAUGUCGUUCGAUUUCAACCGUUCAUUUUAUGCCCGCUUGAUGGACUUUACAAUGAUUUCGAAAAAUUACGAAAUUUAUUUUCUAGAAGUUUCAAAUAUUCUAGAUCAUGUUUAACGGUGUGGAUUGUCGAUUCGAAAACCCCAACAUCGAAAAUAACUUAUGAGUACAAAGGGUUCUAUACUCAUAAGAGUAUAGUAGCCCUACUUUAAUUAUUAUUACUAAUCUUCAUGAUGUCUUAUAUGUCCAAUCACAAUCUUAUUUUCAUUCGAUAUGGGACUAUUGGGAUGUCACAGAGUUGUGUCGUCCAGGCAUAUAGGGCUUAUCUGUUUCACCCAGGGUGAAGUUCAGAUUAAGGUAGACUUACGGGUGAAUUAUAGUUCAGGUAAAAUUUUUUUUUUUCUUUUUUUCUACUGUUUGUUUGUAUAGUCGUGGAACUGAAGUUCUUUCAUUUUUAUUAUUCGUAUGGCAGGAAGUUAAUGACAUAAUGUUAGAGGUGCGAGAAUUAAAUUAAUAUUUUUUUAUUCCUUUUCUUACUUUUUUUAUUUUAUUUUUUUUUUGUAAUUGACUUAGGCUUGAGGUGGGACGAAGUAAUUAUGCUAUUUUAAUUUGGAGAGUUUGAGUUUCAACGGAAGGUGAAGUAGCAGUAAACGAAGCAGUGAAAAUAGAUAUUUCUCUACUUUUGACGAAACAAACAUAGCCAUAGAUGAAGCAGGUAGAAACAAAAAAGAGAGAGUUCAUCGGGACAAUUUUUGUGGGCGGGUCGGAUGGAUUGGGGGAUGCGGGAGUAGAGGUCAGGACGAGGGCGGUGUGACGGUAGAACGUGGAGAGCGAAGCCGAGCUUGGGAGGUGGAUAAACGGAGUAAGGUAAGGAGGGGUGGGGGAGGGAAGGGAAUGGAGAUGGGGGAGGGGAUGGAAUUUGGCGAAGCGCAAGGGCGAAGGCAAGGGUGCGGCGCGUAAGGGAGCGGAGCGAGCUGGAGAUGUAGAGGUGGAGGGGGCGGGGCGGCCGCUAUGCAGUGCGCGGAUCGAAGAGUCCCAAUGGGGAGAGGAAGGGGAGGGACAAUUGGGAUCAUCCCUCGGGAAUGGAGGGGUAGAGGAAGAGGAGUGGGAGAAAAGAGAGAGGAAGAAGGGAGUUUAUAGGCUGUUGAGGGGAGGCUCGGAAGUCUUAGUUGGUUGUAAAAAGGGGAAAAAUUCGGAGUUUUAUCAAGCAAUAUUUCAUACGGAGGUUGAUACAUAUCCUAGAUGGCGGAUCAUAGUUAGUUAAUUCGGAUUAAAUUGGAUGUAUAAUUGAUAAAAUUCGUCUUCUAGUUUUAAUUCCGUUGAAAAAAAGGCUAGAAACGGAUUGUCAAUUAUUCGGAUACGGUGAUUUAUACGGAUAUUAUUCGUUUGUUACAGCGCAAUUAAAUAAUUGGGAUCAAAAUUCGGUGACUAUAAAUUCAUUUUUUUGUAUGCGUCAAGAUUUAUGCUUUAGAUAAAUACUCCUAUUUUGUUAAGAAUAUAAAUAAAAAUAUACAAAAUUAUAACUAAUAUAAAGUAAAAAAAUAGUAAACUUAUUAUCCUCAAAAUAAAAAAAUAAUUAUGCAAAUAGAGAUCAAGAUGUCAUAUUUAAAUGUAAAGCUUCCAACUUUUGCUUUGAAGAAUGAACUCAAUGUACAGUGGUCCAAUGAGUUAUGUUUCAAAAUAGUAGAAACAGUGAGUAUGGAUUCUCAGUGAAAGAAACCAACAAAAUUUUCUUCUUGGAGAGUGACAAGAUCAUGAUUUGAUCUAGGUAUAAUACAAAGAGAUUCUGGCCGUUAUUAAGAUUAUUAUUUGGCACUAUGUGGGUCUUCUUUAUGUGGAUUAAGAGAGAAUGGACAUAUUCAGGUAAGAGUCACCACUUGUGUAUAAAAAGUAUCCAUCGAUACUAAAACCUCUUCAAUUUUUCUUUGAAGAAUGAAAAAAACUCAUAUCGUAGACUCUGGUUGAAAGACCACCCGGUUAAUGAUCUAAAUGUUGUGUUUGGAUAGGCGGAAGCGGGAGAGACGGAAGCGGAAGGGAAGCGAAGCGGGAGAGGAAGCGGAAGCGGAGUGUCGGAAGCGGAAGAGGAGGGAAGAGGCGACGAGGGAGGGUUUCGAUGUCUGAAGAGUAGAGAAGGCCGAUCUUCGAUGCUUCGAUAUUCGAUUUCUCGAAGAGGAGGGCUUCCGAUGGCGUCGCGAGCGGGCCGAAGGAAGAGGAACGCGGCAGGGGUCGAUGGGGCGGCGCCGCGCCGCGAGGAGUGAGAAGUUAGGGCAACCCUUUUUUGGGAGGGGUGGGGUGGGGGGCGGGGGAGUCGUGGCCUCGUGUGAGGGGGCGUAUGGUUUUCAGAAAUGUUUGUUUCUUUUUUUUUUGGCGACAGGUUCUUUUUCGAUUCAGUUGGGCUCCGGCGGGCACAAGUCGCUCAGCAGGUCGCAAGCAGAGGGCUUUUUUUGCGAAUUAUUGCUGAAUCCGUUUAUUUCGCGGGAAUAUUAUUUUUUUGGCUCAAAAAAAAAAACGCGCAUAUUAUUCGAAUUUUUGGCAAAAAUUCAAAAACGGUGCUCGUUGUUUAUUGGAUUCAAAAAUUGCUGAAUAUUCGCGAAUAAUUCGGAAUUAAGCUACUAUGGUACGCGUCAUUAUGAUGCAUGACGGCACUACUCUCUAUUAACUCGCUUCGUUAAUUAGGACUGUUUUUUUUUCAUUUUGGAUUGAAAUGAAUUUAGAUUUAUUAGAGCUCAGAAAAUGAUUAUAUCUCCGACUAGCUGUGGAAGUGAAGUUUUGCCAGUUUUUUUUUGUUGUAGCAAAUGAAUAUAGUAAAAACUGAAGUUUCCACUUUUUAAUGAUGCGUCUUCACCUAGGGAUGUAUGGGUAUGGAUAUCCGAAUUUUAUCGCGAACUCCGACACCCGAAUGAGAACGGAUUAUAUCGCUGGAUAAUGGAUAUGGAGUUUGGAUAUGGAUAUGAAAAAAUAGAAAACCGACGGAUUCGGAUUCAGAUUAGUAAUGUUUGAUUGUAUCGACUCCGAAACCGAACGACGACCGAACCGAUUUAUUGUAAUUAUAUAAUAUAUAUAUAUUAUAUAAUAUAUUAUAUAUAAUAUAUAUAUAUUUGAUGUAUAUUUUUUGAAUUGUAUUUAAAAUUUUAAAUUUAAUAUAAUAUACUUUUGGAAAUAUUUGAAAGGGGAAUAAUUUUUCGGUUCAAAAUUUUUGGGUUGGGUUCGGGUGGGUUCGGGUCGGGUCUUGGAUUUUUGGUCGGGUUGGGUUUGGAUUGGAUUUUGAAAAUCGUGGUUCGGGUUCGGUCUGCGGGUCUCGGUUUGGAGUCGGGUUCGGUUCGGAUUUUUAAAAAUCAGCACGAUCGACCAGCGUUGAACUCUAGUUACCGAAACGUGUUGUUCAGAUUGAUAGUAAAACUACAUCCUAUUAUAGCCUCGCGGGGUGGAUAGGUUUUUUAGGCUGUCUAAGUCUGAAAAGAGUGGGAAGAACUUCGGAGAAACAUAUUUUUCUGAUAAUCUCUAUUUCAGUUAAUUUUGCUGUCGGUUUGGUUCUAAAAAAAUGAAAAUAUUUCUUUCCAAAUUUUUCGUAAAAUAUUUUCUUUUCCUAAAAAAAAAAAUUGAAAAACAAAAUAUAUAUUUGAAUAAAUUUUGAAAAUAAAUUUUCAAAGAAAUAAUUUUCUUUGAAAUAAAGAGACAGAACGAAAAAGAGACAUUUAUUAAAUACGUUUUCUAAUUAAGAAACUGUUUUCUACGCGUUUCUGACACCAACUACAAUUAGUAGUUGUAUUCUAAGUUUUACAACCUUAUAAAUAUAUGAAUAAGAUAAAAACAAGAUCUUCAACGCAUCUAAUAAUACUAGAACUUAUUCUUUCGCUAAUACAUUUAGGGGAUAAAAAUCUAAUCAAAAUGACUUAAUUUGAAAUGAAUCUUGUUCUACCCCUAAAUUUCCACCAAUAAUUCAGUCAAUUUGAAAGUAUUCUCAAUGACUUCAAUGUCUAAAAAAUAUAUAUGUUACCUUGUUUCUCUUUCGGACCUUAUCACAUUAUUUUGUAUGAAAAUCCAAAAAGAGUUAAAAAAUGUCUUUUUAUUAAGAAAGAGUCAUUAGGAUUAAAGAAUAUAAUUUGUAUGCAACAAAUAAUGUUUCUAAUUCUUUCUCGUUUGUUUAAAAUCAUGAUUAGGCGAUUCUAUGACAGCGAAAAAAAUUUAGGAGUAAAUUCACUUUAUGGUCCUCAAAUUAUAAUGUUUGUGACAUUUUGAUUUUCAAAGUUUAAUUAUGAUAAAUUCUGGUAAAAACUAUUAUAAAUCAUUUAAUCAAACUACAGAAUAUCUAAUUUAACCUGUCUAAGUAUUAACAUGCGUUGUGGACGUACAAGAUGACAUCUUGCUUAUUGUCCCUGUCAUCAUUAUAAAAUAUCAUAUGCAUAUUUGCGACAUUAAUUUUUACUCAACUAAAUUGGGAUGUGAGUAUUGAUUGCAACAACUUAGAUAAUUCAGUAACACUUGAAAAAAUUAAAGGUUUGAGGAUCAAAUGUAUAGCGUGUCAUCAUGGUUUUGAGACGAAAUUGUAAUUUAGCUCUCUUUUGUUUUUGUAGGCACCUUCUAAAAAUUGCUUUUUCCUAGUACAUAUGAACCUCUAUAUGAUUUUGAUAGAAAAACCAAAAACCUAAAACAUUGUUUGUUGCCUAACAAAUUCUAUCAUUGACCCUUCUUAAGAUAGGGUAUAUUAAGGGAGGUAAGGAGAGGAUACGGUUGAUUUUAUGGAAACGAGAUUGUAUUUUUUUUUUUUUUUGGAAUAUAAUUCCGGAUGGGUAUAUAUUUCAAAUGGCUGAGAUUUAUUGUUAUAUAUAUCUACUAAAAUGAUUUGGAUACGACUAAAUACUUCGUAGAUUUGAAAUUGGAUAUGAUUUAUAUUUUAAGGUUUGAUUUCUAAUACAGAAUCAGACCAUUAUAUUGUUUGUUUUGAAAAAAUUUAAUUGUCAAAGAACUUAUUUAACACCUAGAAAUUCACAAUUUAAAACAUAAAUUAGAUUAACCUCAAAAUAAGAAAUUUUUAAUUUGAAUUUUGAAUUUGUUUUGAAAAUUUAAUUCUCAAUUUAAAUGUAAUUGUUGUGUUCAAUUUGAAUUCAAAUGAUGCAUCUUAUAUUACAAUUUUAAAUAUGUAAAAUAAAUUUAAAAACCAAAAUUUUAAUUAUAAGGUUAAAAUCACACUUAAAAUAUAUCUAAUUAAAUCCAACUUUAUAAUUAUAUCUUUAAACAAACUACACCUGACUGAGGAGCUAGCCCGUACCAUGUAAUUGUGAACUACAUACACUAUUUGUUAUUCCGCUACAAAAUUUGAAUUAUUAAAUACUAUCUGCCAUAGUUCUCAUAAAAUAUACAUAUUAUAUGUUCAUCUUAUUCAUAUUGUUUAUUUUUUCAGAUAUCGCGAACGAUUUUAAAUUCUUUGAAACUAUAUCAGCAAUCCGUAUUGCGACCUAUCACAAUAUUAUUAAAUAUGCAUUUGAUGAGGGGGGGCCGGAUUAUAUCCUUUAUUCUUUCGACGCUAGAGAUACAAAAGGAGCAAAUCUAAGAGGCAAGAAAGGUUCCCGACGUCCCGCUCUGCUUCUUGAGUUGAAGGUCGAUUUGAAGCGGUAUUAAACUUAAUCUAUUUUGACACCCCACAUACCGUUACUUCGGGGCGAAUAAAGGAGGAGAGCUUUGGUUAAGAUGUACUUUUACAUGUCAAUUGGUCUCUCUUAGAAUAUCCAAAUUCCAAACGAGGCAGAAGAAGAGUAUACUCACUCUAGUCCCAAAAAGACAAAAGAGAAGAGAUGUAUUGCCUUACUCAGUCCUUCAUAUUUAAAUUCGAAUUUCAGACUCUGAAACUUUCAACGAUGUUUCAUUUCAAUUCUGGAUUUUCAGGCAGUAUUUUAUUAUCAGAUUUUUUCUUAGAAUAAACUUACUGGUUGUACCAAUAGCAAUAGGCAUGACAGACACCGGAACGGACCCGAUGAUAUGGACACGGCACGACUUGACACGAUGAUUAACAGCUCAAAAAAAUUAAAAACACAGACGACGAAAUAGACCCACUAUUCUUAUAUAAUAUAUAUAUUUAUUAUAUAGAAAAUAUUAACUUGUUAAAAUAUUAUUAUAUUUUGAUAAAGUUUAAGAAAAUUUCUGCAUUUAUAUUUGUGAGAAAAUUCUCUUUUAUAACAAUAAUUUAUUUAGUAUUAUUCAAAAAAAUUGUAUUAUUUAUCAAAAAAGCCCAAAUAUCCGUAUACCUUAAUAAACAUUUGGUUUAGGUCUCCUACUAGAAUAAANNNNNNNNNNNNNNNNNNNNNNNNNNNNNNNNNNNNNNNNNNNNNNNNNNNNNNNNNNNNNNNNNNNNNNNNNNNNNNNNNNNNNNNNNNNNNNNNNNNNUAUAUAUAUAUAUAUAUAUAUAUAUAUAUAUAUAUAUAUAUAUAUAUAUAUAUAUAUAUAUAUAUAGGCUACAGGUAUAGAGCUUUUUCUAUUUAUAAGUUUUCAGCUGUUGAAUGAAGGGAUGUGCAGUUAGAAUGAUAGUGAUCCCCGGUUAGGACAAUAGUGUUUUCCUAGGUUUGAGUUGAUGGUUAGUUGAAUAAUAUAAUCUAACGGAUGGAAAUAGUUAAAGAGGUAGAUUUAAUGGUUGAAAACUUAUGAAUACGAAGGGAUUUAUACUCAUAACAGUAUAGUAGACGGACUCAUUUAUAUAGAGAGAGAGAGAGAGUUCGGCUACUAUACUCUAUACUCUUAUGAGUAUAAUUGUCUUCAUAUUCAUGAGUCAUUUUUUAUGAUGGAGCUUCUAAAUCGAUGAUCCAUACUGCUAAACAUUAUUUAGAGCAUUUAAAACUUUUAGAAAUCAAAUUUUAUAAUUUUUAAAUUAUUUAUCUUAUGAUAAAAAAAUUUUAAAACUGAUAAUUUUUAACGAUCGUUAUGAAAUACUUCUAUUUUAACGGUGUAAAAGAAUUGGAAUUGGUAAAAUUUUAUUUACUAUCUAAAUAAAGAUCAAUAACUCCAAUCUUAAGUUGAAGAUUCCGACCAUCUAUUUUUAGAAGGUAGUUUAAUUUUCACCGUGCAUUUUAUGGAUGGAUUUUAAUAUAAUUUUGAAAAAUUAGAAAUUUAUUUUCUAAAUAUUUUAAAUGCUUUAAAUCAUAUUUAACGGUAUGAAUCGUCAAUUUGAAAGCUCGAUCAUCAAAAACAACUUAUAACUACGAAAGGUCUAUACUCGUAAGAGUAUAGUAGUGCAACUCUCUAUAUGUAUAUAUAGGCUAUGACUACUAUACUUUCAUGAGUAUAGACUAUUUUGUACUCAUAAAUUUUCGGACGUUAGAUGAAGGAAUGUGCGGUUCGGAUGAUAGUGGUCCCCAGUUAGGAUGAUAGUUGUUCUCAAGAUUUGAGUGGCUUAUUGAUUGAAUAGUAUGAUCUAACGGAUGGAAUGGUUAAAAGGGUAGAUCUAACGACCGAAAACUUAUAAAUACAAACGAAUCUAUACUUUACAAAAGUAUAGUAGCCAGACUAUAUAUAUAGACUCAUUAAUUUGUACUCAUUAAUUUGUACUCAUAAGUUUUCAACCGUUAGAUCUUCCACUUUUAUCAUUUUUAUCCGUUAAAUCAUACUAUUUAACCAACCACUCACUCAACCCUAGAGGACUACUAUCAUUCUAAUCGGAGACCACUAUCAUCUUAACCGCACAUCCUUUCAUCCAACGACCGAAAACUUAUAAGUAUAAAGGGCUCUAUACUCAUAAGAGUAUAGUAGCCCUAGCCUAUAUAUAUAUAUAUAUAGAGAGAGAGAGAGAGAGAGAGAGAGAGAGUAGAGCUACUAUGCUAUCGGAAGUACAGAGGAUCUAAUACUUCCGAUUUUUUGGCCUUUAUAUCAACCCCUUUAAUCAUUUCUAAUCUUUGGAUUAAUACUAUUACUCUGUGGGGACCACUCAACCCUAGGGGUACUACUCAAUCCUGGGAAGAUCACAAUCAUCCCAAUCAUACAAUUCUUAAUCCAAUGGUCAAAAAGUCGGAAGCACAAAACCCUCUAUACUUCAGAGAGCAUAGCAGCUCUACACACACACACACACACACACACACACACACACACACAUAUAAAUAUAUAUAGAGAGAGAGUUGAGCUGGAAUACUAUUAGUAGCAAACAGGCUCCAUUGCCACCCAUUUGUUUUCAAUGAUGGGGCAUCUAAAUCGACGAUUGGUACCAUUGAAAAUGAUCUAUACCAUUUGAAGUAUUUAGAAAUCAAAUUUCAUGUUUUUUUCGAUAUUGUUCUCUUGUCCAUUAAGUGGGCGUAAAAAUGAACUGCUGAAAAUGAAUAUCCUCUAAAAUGUGAUAAUAGAAAUUUUGUAAUUAAGAUUGAGAGUAUAGAUCUUAUUCUAAAUAGUUUAAAGAAUUUUCUAACCAAAAUUCAAUUGAUUUGGAUAUACACCAGUAAACAAGAAAACACCUGAUCAUAUCUACCAUUAAAAUUACAAAUUUCGAAACCCUUUGAUCAUUAGAUCAAUGAUGUCGAAAAGAUUUGAAAUUUCAUUUCUAAAUACUUCAAGUGCUAUAGAUCAUGUUCAACGGUGUCGAUUGUCGAUUUGAAGGCUCCAUUAUCGAAAACAAAUGGGUGGCAACGAAGCCCGUUUGUUACCAAUAGCAUUCCAGCUCAACUCUCUCUCUCUCUCUCUCUCUCUCUCUCUCUCUCUAUAUAUAUAUAUAUAUAUAUAUAUAUAUAUAUAUAGAGAGAGAGAGAGAGUCCGGCUAUAGUGCUUGUAAAAGCACUUCGGGUUCUUAUAUGAUAUAUGUGGGUAAACCUCCAAGCAAGUCAACGGGUUAAAAUCUAAGACGAAAAACUCGGUAAACAUGCAAAGACUUAGUGCUAUCGAUAGUAUGCCACCGAACUAUAAUAUAUAUAAGUAAUAUAUAUCAUAUUUAUAUAUUUAUAUUAUAUAUAGAGAAGAGAGAGAGGAGAGAGGAGAGAGAGAGAGAGAAGAGAGAAGGGACUAGCGACUAUACUUAUGGUAGCACGGAGGGCUCGCGUGUUAACCAAGUUAGUUCUCGAUAUGCGGUGUCCAAAUCGAACAUCGGCUCUCGAGGAGGACUUGAGUCUUAACUAUUAAAGUAUUUAGAACUAAUUUCUAAUUUCAUACCAUUUACGUAUCAACAAAAGUAGUCUAAAACUUAACGGCUGAUAAAUAAAAAUCUAAAAAUAAUGAUAAAGAUUUAAUCGAUUCAAUUACUCGAUCUUACUCAAAUAGUUGAAAAGAAAUUUCUAUAACUUUUCUUGGAUUUGAAUUGUUUUACACCGUUGAACUCUCAACACACCACAUCGGCCAUUAAAAUUGUCAAUUUCGAGAUCUUUUGAUCAACUAGUCAAUCGAUAGGGUCGAAAAAAUCUGAAAUUUAGUUUCCAAAUACUUCAAUAGUGUAAAUCUAAGUCUCAACAGAGCCGUAUCCGUCGAUUAUGAAAGCCGUAUAAUCGAAACAACUUGUAGCACAGAGCGCUGCCGUGCUACAGAUACGCAUAGUAGCCGCGGACUCUAUAUAUAUAUAUAUAUAUAUAUAUAUAUAUAUAUAUAUUAGAUUAGGUUCUGGAAAAAAUUAUUGUCAAGACCCAAUACAUCUCUAUAUUUGUGCACCAUGAAUUUGUCGCUUCUUGAUCUUCUAUCUCAUAUUUCAGUUAUUUCUUCAACUGUGACACCCCAAUAGUCCGACAUCGGAUGGGAAAGGGGUUGUUAUUGGGUUUAUAAGAGACUUAGACACUAGUAAUAAUAACUGGGCUUAAGCAUUUUGGGUGGUGGCAAGGCCCAAGAGGUCACACGAGUCUCCGCAGUGCCAGCGUCGAAAUAACAGACUAAGCCUUGGCCAGAGAAUGACAUGGCUAGUAAGAAAGAGGUCACAUCGCCCGGUGAUCUUGGACUGUGUGUGUGAUUGGACUGACGAGGACGUCAGGGCCUUAACGGGGGGAGUCUGUGACACCCCAAUAGUCCCACAUCGGAUGAGAAAGGGGUUGUCAUUGGGUUUAUAAGAGACUUAGACACUAGUAAUAACAACUGGGCUUAAGCAUUUUGGGCCGGCGGUUGGGCCCAACGAGUUAUUGUUGCUAGUGAGCUGGGUCGUUACAUUUGGUAUCAGAGCCGGUUCACCAGCUGGACAUGUGUGGCGAGUCUCGGCUGAGCCAAGGUCUGGAUGACGGGCUAGCGAGACGAGUCUCACAUCGCCUGGUGAUCUUGGGCUGUGUGUGUGAGGACUGACGAGGACGUCAGGGCCUUAACGGGGGGAGUCUGUGACACCCCAAUAGUCCACAUCGGGGAUGAGAAAGGGUUGUCAUUGGGUUUAUAAGGAGACUUUAGACACUAGUAAUAAAACUGGGCUUAAGCAUUUUGGGCCGGUUGGUUAGACCCAACGAGUUAUUAUUGCUAGUGGGCUAGGUCGUUACAUCAACCAACUAGCAGGCUUUCUAAUUUAUAAGUUAGCCAAGUAGCUUAUAAUUAUAAGAAAAAUAACAAAAGGUUAGUGGCAUCAUUGGUCCCUAACUUGUGUUUUCAUUUUAUUCCACAACCUUUUUCUUUCUUUGCAAUUUUAUUAUGUCUCCUACCUUUAUAUUUUAUUUCAGUUAGAUUCCAACUGUCAAAAUAUCUGUCAAUUUUGACAGAACAGGUCACAUUAACUCCAGAAAACUACAGCGUUGUGUCUGUAGAGCGAUUCUGUGAGAUCCCUGGUAUUCUGUCGUGGAGGCUUGUCGGCAGCUCUGGAGAGUGUCGGAACAAGUACGAGUCGCGUUGGCGUCAAAUAGACGCAAAACGGACUCCGUGCGACGCGAGGGCGGCUUAUAGCGAAGAAAUCUGCAAAAUAGCAGAUUUCUCUGCUUGCUGUACCGGUACAACCAGCAGGCUGUACCGGUACAACCAGCGCGCACUGGCUUAACUGCUCUCGGGUUGGCUCUUGUACCGGUACAGGAGCCCGUGUACCGGUACAAGGGGGUAGGUAGAGGGUUGUUUGGUAAUUCCCUCCCUCGUUUGCAUCACCACUCCACCCACUGCUAUAUACAGGUGUAGAGAGCUUGAGAGAGAGUGUUCUUGCUGCUCCUUCUUCCCCUCUCCCUCUAUAGCUUGGUUCGACCGUGGAGGGGCUCGGUUGGAGCUUUCGUCGCCGACGUCGCGCCGCGGAGCCGUUCGAGGAUACGGUUGCCGCCGUUGCAUCUCGAGGAAGCCGGGCGAGUGCGGAUUUUCGCUGAUCGUGAUGUCGCACCAGUGCUAGCCGCGGUCGAGGUUGGUUAUCUAGCACUUCCUUCGUUUUGGCUAGUUUUUACUUCUUCGAGCUCAUGGAUGCUGAUUUGUUGAAAAUCGUCGUCGACCGUUAGUAUUUCAGCUCGUACUCGACGUAGGAGCAUCGGAUUGCGACGAGACUUGGUUCUUGGAUUCGGGACUGCGAGAGGAAUCCAGAAGCCCUUACUUGUGGAUUUUGGUGCAGGUUAGCUUAGUCGAAAUCCUUCUCUUCUCUGCUACUGCGUAUUUGGACUGAAUUGUAGAUUUUCGAUGUUGAUAGCUUGGAGAUAGCUUGAUUUCGAGACUCGGACAUUUUCAGUCGAUCCAGCAGGUCGUGCCGCAGCCGAGGGAGUUCCAUGCUGCCAGCGAUUAGCUUUGAGGUGGGUUACAUCGGUUUUACUCCUAAGUUCAUAAUCAUCGACAUGUAUAGAUUUCGAUUUUGGAUAAUCUAUUCUAGCUCGAAUUCAUAGAUUAUAUGGUAGAUUGCAAAUCUGAAUUUGAAGCAUGUGGCAAUAAAUUGAGUAGGCUAUACAUGUUGGACUUGAAAUUUGAAUUAGGAGAAAACCUGCGAUUUGGACCUGUCACUUGUUUAAACUGUCUGAUUUAGCUCUAGGAGCCGUUAUAAAAUUGUACUGUCGCAGUAUCCUCGAGACGAGUACUCUAGAUAGUUUAGAAUACAUUUACGCUUGUGCUGGUAUGCCGAGUAGAUUUUUACAGGGUCGUUUGGGCUGUUUUGGACUGUUGGGUGCCGUCAGAGUUGACGGUGGACCCGGAUCACCUUUUUGGCGACAGAUUAUGCCGAGGGCACGUGAACUGUUGGUUAUUAGACUAGUUAGAGUCGGUUACUUGACUUUGGCUUUUCAGAGCCUGAUUGAGCUAGACAGAGAUACGCUGCAUACUCGGUUGGGUAGCGCCCACAAGUGCCAUACCGGAUCGGCUUUGUGCUUUCGCGUUGGUGUCGCUCAUGCCGGUUGAACUUGCUCUCCACGGACCAAUUAGUGUGGAGGUAGCUGGAUAGUCGCAACUGGGUAGGGACGGGUGUAUUCACAGUCCCAGGGACGGGUAGGUUUACAGUCCCAAUUGGAUUCGGUCAGAUUUGACAUUUCCUACAGUUGGUUAGUGUAGAGCAUGAUAGUGUAGUGAUUGAUAGCGGUAGAAUUUACUUCCUGCUUUUUCCUACUAUACUGGCUCCCCACUGAGGACUACUUGUUUUACAGUAGUUCUCACGCCCAGUUGGUACCCUUAUUUUGCAGAGCCAUAGGUUUCGGCUGCUGCGCCUUCCGCCGAUCAGGAUCGAAGCAAGGGCGUCGCGAGUUAGAGCCCUACCCGACAUGCUGAGUUAGAGGUGCCCCUACUGCAGGUAGAUGUUUUGUUUCUAGUUUAUGUACAUAGUAGACUUAACUCGCCAGUGCGAGUAGCUCUGUAGUUUGGAUUUGGACUAUGUAUAUGAAACUCAGUUUGUUUAGCUUCUGUUUUCUCUAGCAGCUCUCUACUACUGUUCGUAGUAGUGUUGGAUUUACAGGUACAGCUGUCGCUUCGUAUACAAGAAAAAUUUCUUUGUAUACGGCGGAUUUGUCGGCGUGCCCGGGGAACGAGACAUCCGGGGCGUGACAAAUUAAGUUGGUAUCAGAGCUUUGCUGUAGGUCGUUGGGACCUAGGAAACCUAAGUUUGGCAAACCUUAGGAAAGCAAAACGCGAGAGGUGAAAUUUAAUUGCGAAAGUCAAUGAUUAUUUGUUCUAACUCCUUCUAGAGUGGAGUGAGUGACUGAAGGAGUUCCUGUUUUGGCCUGAGAAAUUAUGUUGGCUGUAGACGACAUAAUUUUAGAGGGAAACAGGGACCGCCUUCCAGACUUUCGUUGAUUGGGUCGAGAGUGUUGUGUUGUAUCUGACCCCGAUUUGUUCCUUUCAGCUUUGUAUCGUCGUCGAGGUCGACCGUCAUUGCGGGAGCGUGCCCAGUUGGCGCGGGAUCUUGCAGGAUCUUCCUAGAGACCUGAGCAGAUGGAGCAGAGUACUCAGCAGGAGCAGGGUGACAGACUGGAGGCGAGUGCACCCCCUAUUGGGGAGCCGAGUGCGCGACCUGAGGCUAGCGCACCCCCUGAUUUGAGUGCUCAGUUGGCUGGCCUGACAGAGGUGACGAGGCAGCAGGGGGAGAUGUUGCAGAGGUUGUGUGAGAGGGUGGCUCAGACAUCGAGUACAGUACCGAAAGCACCAGAGCAGGUCAUUCCGCCUCCGACUACUCCAAUGGCCGCACCAGCCGUAGCUGUACCCCCACCAGCGGAGUUUCCGGCCGCGCCAGUUGCGCCAGCUAGGGGACCGGUUCAGUUGACAAAGGCCGAGCAGAAGCGGUGGACAGAGAGGUUGGCCCGCUUCCGCCGUUUCGAUCCACCGAUCUUUGAUGGCAGUUACACUGAGGCUUGGGUUGUUGAGGGCUGGGUCAGUGUGAUGGAGAAGCUAUUCGAGAAUCUUUUCAUCCCUGAGGGGGAGCAUGUGUCUUUGGGAGUCCAUUGUUUGGCAGGUGACGCCCACGCCUGGUGGAGGAGAGUGCGGAGAGAGCAGGGACUGGUAGCGUUGCAGCUUAGUUGGGAUGAGUUCUGUGGAAUGCUGUUUGGGAUGUUCUUUCCCAACAGUAUGAAGCAGAAGCUCGAGGAGGAUUACGUUCGGGAGUUUACUCGACUCUUGAACUGCGUGCCAUUUGUGGCCAGAGAUGAGGCCCACAUGGUUUACAUGUUCGAGCAGGGGCUGAGACCGGAUAUUUUUAGGUUGACUCGGACGUAGAGGUCAAGGACUCUGGAUGCGUCUAUAGAGCAGGCCUUGUGGGUGGAGCGAGGUGAGGCAUCGCUACAGGAGAGGACUCAGGCCGUGGGGCAGAAUCAGGAUAGGAAGCGCCCCUUUCCAAAUGACGGAGGACAGUCGAGCAGUAGACGUCCGCCGAGGCCUCCACGAUCACGUUCUCAGGGUCGUGGGUCUUCGGGGCGUCAGCGUUCCAGGGGAUCCCGUCAGCAGGGUCAGACUCAGAGGGCACCGCAGUGUGUGAUCUGCGGGGGACCACACUGGCCCCGAUAGUGCGAGCAGAGAGAGGGCAGGUGCUACGGAUGUGGUCAGCCGGGACACAUGAGGGCAGCUUGUCCCCGAGCAGCGUCUCCAACACCAUCAUCAGCUUCAGCACCACCAGCACCGCAGCAGUCUUACGGAGCAGCACCGAGCUACUGCCAGGAGGACAGAUCGUCUGUGCCGCGGUCGAGUGAGCAGCGACAGCAGGCUCCAAGUGGCAGGGUUUAUGCAGCCCAGGUGGAGAACUCUACGGCAGCCGACCGAGCGGUGGCAGGUAUCACUUUGAUAUCUGGCAUUAGAGUUCGCACUCUUUUUGAUACCGGUGCAUCACAUUCCUUUAUUAGCCGAGUAUUUGCACAGUUACAUGGUCUAGAGUUAGGAGCGUUGUCUCAGGCACGAGAGGUGCAGAUCUCAGACCAUGUUUUGCAAGUUGUGGAGUGUUGUUGGUCAUGCCCAGUGCAGCUAGACUCGUGGAUUAUGCCCGCAGACCUGUUGGUGUUAGGGCAGCUGCAGGACUUCGACAUCGUGCUCGGUAUGGAUUUGCUGGCGCGGUACUAUGCUACGAUCGGCUGUGGAGCGAGGACGGUGACGUUCCGCGAGCCAGGCCAGGAGGAGUUUACUUUCAAAGGCUGUAGGAGCACGCUGUUUGCCACCUGGAUAUCUUCGGCGAGGGCUCGACAGAUGCUGAGUAGCGGGUGUAUCGCUUUUCUAGCGACAGUUGUGGAGGUACCUACGGCGGCGCCGGGACUCGAGGAUAUCCCAGUAGUCCCCGAGUUUCCGGAUGUAUUUCCCCCUGAGUUGACGUCGUUGCCGCGGGAGAGGGAGAUUGAGUUUGUGCUUGAUGUAGUUCCUGGAACUGCACCAAUCUCGAAGGUACCUUAUCGGAUGGCGCCGGUAGAGCUGAGGGAGCUAAAGGCACAGCUGCAGGAUUUGAUGGAUAGAGGGUUUGUGAGACCCAGUGUUUCGCCUUGGGGAGCGCCAGUGUUGUUUGUGAAGAAGAAGGAUGGUUCACUUAGCCUGUGUGUGGAUUACCGGGAGCUGAAUAAAGUGACCAUCAAGAAUAAGUAUCCCUUGUCGCGUAUUGAUGAUUUGUUUGAUCAGCUGCAGGGAUCUUAUGUCUUCUCGAAGAUUGAUCUCCAGUCAGGUUACCACCAGCUGAGGGUGAGGGCCGAGGAUAUUCCCAAGACGGCUUUUCGGACUCGGUACGGGCAUUAUGAGUUCACGGUGAUGCCUUUUGGAUUGACAAAUGCCCCUGCCGCAUUCAUGGAUUUGAUGAACAGAGUGCUUAAGCCGUUCUUGGAUAGAUUUGUGGUAGUCUUCAUCGACGAUAUCUUGAUUUACUCCCGGAGUAAUGCUGAGUAUGAGGAGCACUUGAAGAUUGUGCUACAGCUUCUGCGAGAGAAGAAGUUGUCUGCCAAGUUAAAGAAGUGCGAGUUCUGACUACGGGAGGUUGCUUUCUUGGGCCACGUGAUUUCAGCUGAGGGCGUAGCAGUGGACCCGAAGAAGAUUGAGGCGAUUUGAGAUUGGCCUAGACCGACGACGGUGACUGAGGUACGGAGUUUUCUGGGACUGGCAGGAUAUUACAGUCGGUUUGUGGAAGGCUUUGCGAAGCUUUCCACACCCCUCACACGCUUGACGCGGAAGGGGAUUCGUUUUGUCUGGAGCGACGACUGUCAGAGGAGCUUUGACGAGUUGAGACUGAGGUUGACGUCGGCUCCUAUCCUUGCCCUUCCGGUGAUGGGGGUGGAUUUGUGAUCUAUAGUAAUGCAUCGCACAGUGGACUUGGUUGCGUGCUGAUGCAGCAUGGUAGGGUGAUUGCUUAUGCUUCACGGCAGUUAAAGGAUUAUGAGAAGAAUUACCCUACGCAUGACUUGGAGCUUGCCGCGGUGGUUUUUGCUUUGAAGCUCUGGCGGCAUUACUUGUAUGGCGAGCACUGCGAGGUUUUCACUGAUCAUAAAAGUCUCAAGUAUCUGUUCACACAGAGGGAGCUGAACCUGAGGCAGCGCCGGUAGAUGGAGUUACUGAAGGCUAUGACAUUAGUAUUCAGUAUCAUCCCGGCAGGGCGAAUGUAGUGGCAGAUACGUUGAGCAGGAAAACAGUGUAGAGCCUGAGUUUGACGAUCACUGAGCAGAAACCCCUACUAGAGGAGCUACAGCGGCUGGGACUCGAGAUAGUACCCCCUGGCUCUACAGCGAGGCUGACGUCUCUAGUUUUACAGUCCACUCUGUUGGAUAGGAUCCAAGAGAAACAGAGUGGAGAUCCGUACUUGUUGAGGAUCAGAGAGCAGCUAGACAGGGUGCAAGUUGAGGGUUUUGCUUUGGACAGUUCGGGAGUACUACGGUACAGGGACCGACUGUGUGUGCCUGUGGAUUCUGAGAUCCGAGCAGACAUUCUGAGAGAGGCUCAUUGUUCAACUUAUACGGUUUACCCUGGGGGAACCAAGAUGUAUAAGGAUCUAAAGGCACGGUUCGGUGGCAUAGAAUGAAGAGGGACAUUGGCAGAUAUGUGGCUCAGUGUUUGACUUGCCAACAGGUAAAGGCCGAACAUCAGGCGCUUGCUGGCAAGCUUCAGAGUCUGCCAGUGCCCGAGUGGAAGUGGGAGUACAUCACUAUGGACUUCGUCGUUGGAUUGCCUAGAGCACAGGGUGGCUACGACGCGAUUUGGGUCAUAGUGGACAGACUGACCAAGUCUGCUCACUUCCUACCGGUUCAGACUACCUGGUCCAGAGAGAGACUCGCGCAGCUAUACUUGGAUGAGAUCGUUAGGCUGCACGGUGUGCCAGUGUCGAUUGUAUCAGACAGAGACCCGAGGUUUGUAUCCCAGUUUUGGAGGAGUCUUCAGACCGCCUUGGGCACUCAGUUACAUUUUAGCACGGCGUUCCACCCACAGACAGAUGGUCAGUCAGAGCGGACCAUACAGACUCUAGAGGACAUGCUGAGGGCAUGCGUCCUGGAUUUUGGAGGAGGGUGGUAUCGACAUGUGAGCCUGGUUAAGUUUGCGUACAACAACAGCUAUCAAACGAGCAUUCAGAUGGCUCCGUUUGAGGCGUUGUAUGGACGCAGAUGUCGAUCCCCCCUGUUUUGGAGCGAUGUGGGUGAGCGGAGGACACUUGGACCGGAGAUUCUACUUGAGGCUGAAGAAAAGGUGAGAAUCGUUCGACGACACCUUUUGGCAGCACAGAGCCGGCAGAGGAGCUACGCCGAUACCAGGAGACGAGACUUGGAGUUCCAGGUUGGAGAUCAUGUAUUCCUUAAAGUCUCGCCGUCCAGAGGGAUACGCCGAUUUGGAGUACGUGGAAAGCUUAGUCUACGGUUUGUUGGCCAUUUCGAGGUAUUGGAGCGUAUCGGACCCGUUGCUUACAGGAUAGCUUUACCCCCGCAACUUGUUGGCAUCCACGAUGUUUUCCACGUCUCAGCAUUGAGGAGAUACGUUUUCGAUCCCACUCACGUGAUUGACUUCACUCCACUGGAGAUUAGCAAGGAUCUGAGAUACGAGGAGCGACCGUUGCGGAUUCUUGCUUGGGAGACGAAAGAAUUGCGCAACCGGGUCAUCCCGUAUGUGAAAGUGCAGUGGAGCAAUCACGAGGAGCGGGAGGCGACUUGGGAGCCUGAGACGGUGAUGAGGGAGGCCUAUCCCUAUCUGUUUGAUGCCUGAGUUGAGGUACGUUUCAGUUUCGUGGACGAAACUUUUUGUAGAGGGGGAGGAUGUGAGAUCCCUGGUGUUCUGUCGUGGAGACUUGUCGGCAGCUCUGAAGAGUGUCGGGACAAGUCCGAGUCGCGUUGGCGUCAAAUAGACGCAAAACGGACUUCGUGCGAUGCGAGGGCGACUUAUAGCGAAGAAAUCUGCAAAAUAGCAGAUUUCUCUGCUUGUUGUACCGGUACAACCAGCAGGCUGUACCGGUACAACCAGCGCGCACUGGCUUAACUGCUCUCGGGUUGGCUCUUGUACCGGUACAGGAGCCCGUGUACCGGUACAAGGGGGUAGGUAGAGGGCUGUUUGGUAAUUCCCUCCCUCGUUUGCAUCACCACUCCACCCACUGCUAUAUACAGGUGUAGAGAGCUUGAGAGAGAGUGUUCUUGCUGCUCCUUCUUCUCCUCUCUCUCUAUAGCUUGGUUCGACCGUGGAGGGGCUUGGUUAGAGCUUUCAUCGUCGAAGUCGCGCCGCGGAGUCGUUCGAGGAUACGGUUGCCGCCGUUGCAUCACGAGGAAGCUGGGCGAGUGCGGAUUUUCGCUGAUCGUGACGUCGCACCAGUGCUAGCUGCGGUCGAGGUUGGUUAUCUAGCACUUCCUUCGUUUUGGCUAGUUUUUACUUCUUCGAGCUCAUAGAUGCUGAUUUGCUGAAAAUCGCCGUCGACCGUUAGUAUUUCAGCUCGUACUCGACGUAGGAGCAUCGGAUUGUGACGAGACUUGGUUCUUUGGAUUCAGGAUUGCUAGAGGAAUCCACGAAAUCCUUACUUGUGGAUUUUUGUGCAGGUUAGCUUGGUUGAAACCCUUCUCUUCUCUGCUGCUGUGUAUUUGGACUGAAUUGUAGAUUUUCGAUGUUGAUAGCUUGGAGAUAGUUUGAUUUCGAGACUCGGACAUUUUCAGUCGAUCCAGUUCCGUGCUGCCAGGAAUUAGCUUUGAGGUGGGUUACAUCGGUUUUACUUCUAAGUUCAUAAUCGUCGACAUGUAUAGAUUUCGAUUUUGGAUAAUCUAUUCUAGCUCGAAUUCAUGGAUUAUAUGGUAGAUUGCAAAUUUGAAUUUGGAGCAUGUGGCAAUAAAUUGAGUAGGCUAUACAUGUUGGACUUAGAAUUUGAAUUAGGAGAAAACCUGCGAUUUGGACCUGUCACUUGUUUAAACUGUCUGAUUUAGCUCUAGGAACCGUUAUAAAAUUUUACUGUCGCAGUAUCCUCGAGACGAGUAUUCUAGAUAGUUUAGAAUACAUUUACGCUCAUACUGGUAUGCCGAGUAGAUUUUUACAGGGUCGUUUGGGCUGUUUUGGACUGUUGGGUGCCGUAAGAGUUGACGGUGGACCCGGAUCGCCUUUUUGGCGACAGAUUGUGCCAAGGGCACGUGAACUGUUGGUUAUUAGACUAGUUAGAGUCGGUUACUUGACUUUGGCUUUUCAGAGCCUGAUUGAGCUCGACAGAGAUACGCUGCAUACUCGGUUGGCUUAGCGCCCACAAGUGCCACUCCGGAGUCAGCUUUGUGCUUUCGCGUUGGUGUCGUUCAUACCGGUUGGACUUGCUCUCCACGGACCAGUUAGUGUGGAGGUAGCUGGAUAGUCGCAACUGGGCAGGGACGGGUGUAUUCACAGUCCCAGAGACGGGUAGGUUUACAGUGCCGAUUGGAUUGGGUCAGAUUUGACAUUUCCUACAGUUGGUUAGUGUAGAGCAUGAUAGUGUAGUGAUUAAUAGCGGUAGAGUUUACUUCCUGCUUUUUCCUACUAUCCUGACUCCCCUCUGUAGACUUAGUGGGUGGACCGAUGUUGUUUCGGCGGCACCCACUGAGGACUACUUAUUUUUACAGUAGUUCUCACGCCCAGUUGGUACCCCUGUUUUGUAGAGCCACAGGUUUCGGCUGCUGCGCCUUCCGCGGAUCAGGAUCGAGGCAAGGGUGUCGCGAGUUAGAGCCCUACCCGACGUGCUGAGCUAGAGGUGCCCCUACUGCAGGUAGAUGUUUUGUUUCGAGUUUAUGUACAUAGUAGACUUAACUCGCCAGUGCGAGUAGCUUUGUAUUUUGGAUUUGGACUAUGUAUAUGAAACUCAGUUUAUUUAGCUUCUGUUUUCUCUAGCAGCUCUCUACUACUGUUCGUAGUAGUGUUGGAUUUACAGGUACAGCUGUCGCUUCGUAUACAGGGAAAAUUCCUUUGUAUACGGCGGAUUUGUCGGCGUGUCCGGGGAACGAGACAUCCGGGGCUUGACAGAUUCGGUGCGACGACUUUCAAUAAAACACCUAACUGAUUGCCAUUGAUCGGACUUUGUCCAUCAGCCUAUUCAUAAGUUCAAUUCAUAACCUCAAAAUAAAUCAAUUUUUCCUUGAUCUGUUCUGCCAUCCCACCUAAUAAAUUACUAGGAUUCAUUUUCAAUAUAACUAGUUCUCUGGUUUUCAUAUUUUUGCCAUUAAUUGGUAGCUCAAACUUUCCAAUGGAGCUUCCAACUAUGAAAUAUAUGAAAUAAUCAUUGUAGUCUAAAAACUUAAAUCGAUAGAGAAUGAUAUUUAAAUAGUUUUAUAUUUAACAUAUUUUAUAGUUUGGAUCACAGUCGGAUCUCCUGCUCUGAUACCACGAGAACAACCGUUAUAUUCUAAAAGUUUAAACUGAUAAAGAACGGUAGUUAAAUAUUUUUAUAUUUAACACAUUUUAUAGUUUGGAUCACGGUUGGACCGGUCAAUUCGAUCCGAUAUUUCGAACAUAUGAAGGUGGGGAUAUCAAUGGGUUAGAUUCGGGAUGGAUUUUCAAAAACCCGAACCCGAACCUGACUCCAAACUUGAACCCGCAGGCAACGGAUUUUAAAAAUCCAUAUCCAAAUCCGAAACCCAAACCCAAACCCAAACCCAAACUCGAACCCGAAACAAUUAUUUUUUCUCAAUAUUUCAAAAAAUAUAUUAUAUUAAAUCUAAUUUUGUAAAAUAUAAAUUCGAAUAUAACAUCAAACAUUUAUACACAUAUUAUAUAUAUAAAAUAAAUUCAGGUUCGAAUCGGAUUCGGAUCACGUAUAAUCAAAAUCCAUAUCCGAAUCUAAAUCCGUCGAAAUUUUAUUUUUGAUAUCCAUAUCUAAAACUAUUUCUAUUUAGUAUCAAGUAAAAUUUAUUUUGUUCGAUUUCGGAUUUGAAUAAAAUUUCGAGUAUUUCGUGUUCAUUGACAACUCUGUAUGAAAGCGAGGUUCGUUGACUUUUCCAGGGAGACUGUGGGGUCAAUUUGACUGGUGCCGCGAAAGCCACGGCAGGGAUUGACUCAGUCUCGUUGCCUUGGAGGCUGCGUCCAACGCUAUCACGACGACACUUCGAUUUCUCCGCCCUCUUUUUUUUUUUUUUUUUUUUCACAUAUAUGGAACAUUUUUAAAUAGGAAAAACUUCAAAAACCCCCAUGUGAUUUCGUCGUUUCUCACUUAGCACAACUGUGGUUUAAAAUGUAUCAAAUUGCCCCCAUGUGGUUCGUUUUUAUCUAUUCGGUAGCUUUUUCGUUAAUAUUUUAUUAAAUUAUAUACAAAAAACUUCAGAUAUCUAUCUAGAUUUAUCAAAUAUUCACUUUAGUACCCUUUAACUUUAACUUUAUCACUGAUUUAAGAAAAAAAAUAAUGAAAUUGAUAAGAAAAAGAGAAAAAAGAAAACCACGGGGGGGGGCAAAUUGAUACAUUUUAAACCACAGGGGGCAAAGUGAGAAACUACGAAACUACAAGGGGGGUUUUUGAAGUUUUCCCUUUUAAAUAUCAUAGUUCACACUUUUUUAUUUUAGUACCCUAUAAUUUAAAAUGUAUCAAUUUGUACCAUGUAGUUUCAUCUUUAUCUUUUUAUUAUCGUUUCUAUUACUUUUUUUCGUUAAAUCAGUAACAAAGCUAAAACUAAAAGGUACUAAAGUGAAUAUUCGACAAAUCUAUAUGGAAUAUCUGAAACUUUUUGUAUAAAAUUUUACCAAAAUAUUAAUUAAAAAGCUGACGAAAAGAUAAAAAUGAAACCACAGAACACUAACUUGAUACACUUUAAACCACAUGCUACUAAAGUGAGAAAGUGCGAAAUGACAGGGACUGUCUUUGAAGUUUACCAUUUUUUAUGAAAAUAACUUUAAAUAUCACCAUUAUAGUUUCGUUCUUUUUUAUUUUAGUAUCCUAUAUUUUAAAGUAUAUUAAUUUAGUGCCCUGUAAUUUUAUUUUAUUUUAUUAUUCCCUCCACUAAUGUUUUUUUAUUAAAUCGGUGACAAAGUUAAAACUAAAAGGUACUAAAGUGAAUAUUCGAUAAACCUAGGUGGGACAUCUGAAAUUUUUUAUAUAUAAUUUAACGAAAUGUUAACGGAGGAGCUGACGAAAAGAGAAACUGAAACCAUAGGAGACUAAAUUGAUACACUUUAAACCAUAUGAUACUAAAGUAAGAAAGUGCGAAACUACAUUGGUGAUAUUUGAAGUUUAUUCUUUUUUUAUUCAUUGUUGUUAGGGUAAAUUGCACCUUUGGUCCUUAAUCUAUAAGCGACGCGAACUUUAAUCCAUAAAUUUUAAUUUGUUAUAAUUUUUAACUCUAAUUUUUAGAAUUGUUGUAAUCAAGCUUCAAAUUUUAAUUUAGUUGACUAAAUUUUAAAGCAUUGUUAAUAUAGAAAUAAUGUAAUAUCUUAAUUAUUUGUGUAUCAUUUGCAUGUUAGCAAUAUAUCAAUAUUUAGUCAAUUAAAUUGGGCUAUAGGCUAUAGAACUUGAUUGCAACAAUUCAAAAAGUUCGAGAUAAAAAUUACAACUAAUUAAAGUUUGCGGAUCAAACGUACAGUUUACCCUUCUUAUUUUACGAGAAUAUUUUUAAGAUGAAGAGUCGAAUCAUGGACAUGCAUGUCUACCAAAUUUUGAUUCUCCACCUUUUCACACAUAGUAGCUGGUAAAUAUCUUAAAAAGAAGGGAUGAUUUCAUACAGCUCCCUAUAAACAUAUCGAAUAACAAAUAUAUUCUUACAAAAUUCAUAUUUUUAGAUUUAUCCCUGAAACCCCUAUUGUUAGGGUGCGUUAAAAAGUAUACAUAGUUAAUUAUAAGUAAAAUACUUAAUUUUGAUUAGUAAGUGAAAUAAAUUGACCUUUUUAUUCUUAUAAUAUUAUACCUUCUUUUCUCAAUCAAAAUUCUAGUAAUAAAAACUCUUUUUUCUCUUUCUCUUUCUCUUCCUUUCUUUCCUUCAUGCUAGGUUCGAACCCGUAACUAUAGUUUUUCCGUCACCAUUCAUCUACGACGCUUGUUGCUUUCCAUGUCAAACGCCGGGAAAUCAAUAGUAGAUAGGUAAAUGAGAAAAGGUGUAAGAGAAGAGGUUGCAAUAAUGAUGAAUUGAGUUAAUUUUUAUAGAAGAAGAAGAUGAUCAUUAAAAAUUUUUUAGGAGGAUAUUUCUACAUAAUUAUAACAGUUGAAAAUUUUAAAGGAAUAUAUUUGUGAUAAUAAAAAUGACAUUUCACUUAUCUGCUAUUAAAAAAUAAACAGUGAGCUAACAAUAACAAGUCAGAAAGACAAAUAAGCAAAAUAUCUAAACUCUUUAAGGAACGAAUCUAAAAAAUUUAAUUUUGCAAAGAUAUAUCUGCUAUUCGAUAUGUUUACAUAUUAUCUGUAUGAAAUUGUCCCUAAAAAGAAUGAUGUUAUAUUAUUCUUACAUCAGAUAAAAUGGGAGAGAGCAUAAAAGGAUUACACAUGAUUAAAGUUGAACUAAUCCAAUUUAUAUUAUGCAUUUUGGUUCAAUUAAGUUGAUCUUAGUUUGGUUUGAUUUAUGAUUUGACCAGUAAUUCUAUUUGGAUUUCGAUUGAGUUUUUUUUUUUUUUAAUUUUCCGACUAAACAAUGCAGAAACCAUUUUUUCGUUCAGUUAAGUUGAUUUUUUUUUUUAUUUUAUUAAGUGAUGCUUCCGAAUUUUUUUUUUUUUUUUUUUAAACCAUUCAUUUGCGUCGUUUGAAGGACGGAGAUUCAUUGUUGAGAUUGUUUGGUAGGUAAGUGGGAGGGCGGUGAGGUCGGUACCGGUUAAUCGGACAAAAAUUGUCCAUUUGGUAGGUAAGUGGGAGGUCGGUGAGGUCGGUAUCCGUUAAUCAGACAAAAAUUGUAUGGACAUCGUUCCAUAAAUUAAUUAGUUUGGAAACAAUACGGAUGGCCGCCACGUGACGAGCACGCGCCCAUUCACGCGCCCAUCUCACCCUCCAUUUUUCUUUCUAUGCUUCUUUCUCUCUCCCAAUAGAAAUCAGAAUGCACAAAUUUUUUUUGGAAAAACUUCAAAAACCCUCCUUGUGGUUUCACACUUUAUCACUUUAGUAUCCCUGUGGUUUAAAGUGUAUCAAGUUAGUACCCUGUGGUUUCUCACUUUAUCACUUUAGUACACUGUGGUUUAAAGUGUAUCAAGUUAGUGUUCUGUGGUUUUGCACUUUAUCACUUUAGUAUCAUGUGGUUUCACACUUUAUCACUUUAGUACCCUAUAAUUUAAAAAACUACAGGGUACUAACUUGAUACAAAAUUAAAAACGCAGGGUACUAAAGUGAUAAAGUGCAAAACCACAGGGUACAACUUGAUACAUUUUAAACCACAUGGUACUAAAGUGAUAAAGUGAGAAACCACAGGGUACAAACUUGAUACAUUUUAAACCACAGGGUACUAAAGUGAAAAAAUUGAAACCACAAGGAGGGUUUUUGAAGUUUUUCUUUUUUUUUUUUCUUCUUUUUUCCUUCUCACUCACGCAAUUGGUGUGUGCUCGCCACACGGCACCCAUCUGCAUCGUUCCCAAACUAGUAGUUUGAAAACGUUGUCUAUAUAAUUUUUGUCCUGGUUACUCGGUACCCCUGAGAGGUGAUUUUUAUGGACAUUUUAGUAAGGCUAAAUUACAGAAAAUCUUCCUAUCAAAACUCGUUUUUUCACUUUUCCUUCCUGUCAUUUAAAAAUCUACACUUUACCCCACUAAAUAAUGAAAAAUAUUCACUUUGGAUCCUGCCGUCAGUGUUCCGUUAGGGUUCCGUCUAUAUCCCAUUAUUAUAUAUAUUUUUAUACCGAAAAUACCAUUCUACAGAUAAAAGAGAGUUGGGGAAGUAGAGGAAGAAGGAGAGAAUAUUUUGGUCAAUACUAUUAACACCGUACUCUCUGUAAACAUUUUUUUAUUUUUUAGGGUGGCAAAAUGUACGUUUUUAAAUAACAGGGAGGAAAAGUGAAAAAUCGGAUUUUGAUAUGAUGGUUUUAUGUAAUUUAGCCUUUUAAUAAUUUUGAUUAUGGGAUGGUGUAGCAAGUUUGAAAAUGCUUGAACCGCGUCCACAGCAUCAACGGGGAACUUUCAAUUUUAAAUUUUUAAAUUUUAAAUCUAAAAUAUAAAUAUAAAUUUUAAUUUUAAUUUUAGUUUAAAUUUUAACUUAAAUAAAGAAUUCAAAUUUAAUUUUAAGUUUAAGUUUAAUAUUUGGAAUUCAAAAUUCAAAUUAAAAUUUAAAUUUAGUGUCAAAAAUUAUAUUUAAAUUUUGAAUCCAUAUUCGAACGUAAAUUCAAACAUGUUAAUUCAGGUUAAAAUUUGAAUUUUGAGUUUGACUAUUUGUUUAAAUUGAGAUUCUAGUAAAUAAUUCACAUCGAAGUUGAGAGGGUCUCCAUACAUUUUAAUAUUAAAUUUUAUUUUAAUAUAAUAUAAAAUAUUAUAAUGUAUGGAUAGAUCAUGUGCACCUAAUAAUUUUUAUAGAUCUCUCUCUGAGAUGCUUAUCAUGAAUUUUUAGGGGAAAAAAUAUUAAAACUUUGAAAAUUAUAUAAAAAGAUAAAUUUUAGAAACUAUUUUGAACUUUUCUGUAAAGUUAUAAAUCUAUACGAAAAUUUCAAAAGAUGAAUAGUUGGGGGGCUUAUUUUAAAAUCGGCUGCAAGUUGAGGGGCAUCCUUAGAUUUUUACCUUUCUAGCAUGUGGGAUUGCAUACAAACUAAAAGAGAAUUACUUGUUCACAUUUACAUCCAAAAAAUUAAGUACAGGAACAAACUUAUUUUUUAUUUAGUUCGGUAUUAAAUGCGAGUAAAAUUCAGCUUUCGUUUCCAUUCAGUAUUUUUGUUAAAAUUACGAAAAUUAUAUUUAUUGACAUCCACUUUUAGAUGCCCGGAGCUCUUGGGCUAGAGCGCGUCGCAUAGGUUGCCAAAGCAGAGACAUCAGUGAAAGAAGUGAGGACCACCCAAAAGAAGCUCAUCUUGCAUGCACCAUCAAGGUUUAGGGUUUAGGGUUUAGGGCUCAAAUAGGCAAAAGCACUAAAAAGGUCUAGGGAUGGGUGUGCAGACAGAGGUCAGCUUUGGAAAGGAUAAGACGUAUCACGAAGAUCAUAACCGGCGUUUGGAUGCAGACAGACCCAAGGGGACGCCUGCCAUCACGAUAGAAGGGUCCGGCGGCAGGAAUGAAGUUGACGAAAGGCUGCGAUGACGUAUAGGCUGCGACAGAUGUGACUGUUAUGUACAACAUGUGCGAUAUGCACAGUUCAAGCAGAGAAGUGUCGAAAGCACAACAUCCGAAGGCAGUGAUGGAAAUGAGCAGGAAAAGCAUUGGCGGCCACAUCACAGCACCUAAAGAUAUAAAAGGAGAAAAUAGAUGCAUCUUCAACUACCAAGCAUUUACAAUUACAGCGAACCAAACGGCACCUGAGAGCAGCUAUAAGUUAGAAUUGCCGACCCACACUAGCAGAGUUCUUCACCAAACACUGCUCGGCUCUCGUAUGCCACUAACUCUCACCGAGUCGCUAUGUGCAUUUUGCUUUGGCUUAGAGACCACUGAUUUGCGACGGUCUUCUUCACCCGAUCUCGGUUCGGACCAGCAGUUGAGAUCCGAUAGGCCAAUAUAGGACUCCAGUCUGGCCCAUAUCAAGGGCCCCCAAAUCACUCGUGGGGGGCCCUCAACUUAAAAUGUAUCCCAAUCCUAAUAUAAUUAGAAUUUCGACUCUAAUUAAUAUCUAAAUUCAUUAUAAUUUAUCACCAACAGAUUUAAAUAUUAAUUCUAAUCCAACUGGAAUUCAACUAUAAAUCUAACCAAAACGUAACAGAUCAUUUCUCUUAAAAUUUAAUAAAUAUCUUCAGAAAACUAUGGAGUUAAUAGAAAGCACGAAAUGACCAAAUUGACCUUACUAUAAAAAAAUUAAUUGUUAGAUGUGACUCGAAAUCUACUAUCGAUUCAGGUUCGGGUUUAUGACUCGCCGAUAGCUUCGCGGUGCGACCAAUUUGAAAAAGAAAAUUAUGGAGGAAAAAUGAAUGUCUUUGGUGGGUAGCGGAGGGCUCGNUAUGUGCAUUUUGCUUUGGCUUAGAGACCACUGAUUUGCGACGGUCUUCUUCACCCGAUCUCGGUUCGGACCAGCAGUUGAGAUCCGAUAGGCCAAUAGGACUCCAGUCUGGCCCAUAUCAAGGGCCCCCAAAUCACUCGUGGGGGGCCCUCAACUUAAAAUGUAUCCCAAUCCUAAUAUAAUUAGAAUUUCGACUCUAAUUAAUAUCUAAAUUCAUUAUAAUUUAUCACCAAUAGAUUUAAAUAUUAAUUCUAAUCCAACUGGAAUUCAACUAUAAAUCUAACAAAAACCUAACAGAUCAUUCCUCUUAAAAUUUAAUAAAUAUUUUCAGAAAACUAUGGAGUUAAUAGAAAGCACGAAAUGACCAAAUUGACCUUACUAUAAAAAAAUUAAUUAAUAUUUUUAAAUAUAUUUUUGCUAUUUUUAAUGAUAUUUUUGAUAUAACAGAAUAGUGGUGGAACCCUGAAGGAGAGGGAUUAAAUAUAUCAGCUUGAAAUUUUGAGUGGGUACACUAUAGAUUUUUGAAAGCCGAAAAUAGAAAAUAAAAAAGAUAGAUAUUUACAGAAAAAUUUUUAUAAUAUAAAUGAAUAGAUUAUGGAAAAGCACCUUGUAUUUAUAUCGUUUGGUCCAAUUACCUACUUGCGUAAAAAAUUAUAUGAAUUUUAAUUUUGUACUUUAGCAUCUAAAAUUUGAAAUAAUUAUCGAAUUUAGACGCAGAACUUCACCGAAAUAGUUUGGCAUGUAUAAUAAACUUAAAAUUAAAGAAAAUAUGUAUGUUAUUGAAUAAAAAUAUUUAUGAGCCUGUUUAAUAAUAAAGUGUAGACUUGAAAUUAACUGCAAAUAUAUAUAUAUUUUUUUGUAUACAUUCCACAUCAAGAUAUAUACAAUAUUUACAAAUUAAUAAUUUAGUUACAAGCUUAUACAUUAAUAACUAUAUAUACUUCUAGAUGUAGCUAGAAUCGUUUACUUCCAUGCAGUUGUCAGAGGGAUUGGACUUCUGAAAAGUUCAGAUAGUUUUUGUAGUAAAGUUUUAAUGAUUCCGAUCGACGAUGAUUCGAAUGUCACAUUAUCUAAAACGACACGAAAGUAAACUGCUUUUUAUUUCUCGAUACAGUCCAGCUUUAUUUAUGGACGGAUAGAACGAGCCCGCUAAGUGCUGCUCUUGAGCUGGAGCAAUCUGACCCCGAAAAGCGCGAGCAGCGUGCAGGACGGCACGAAGACGACGUCGGGGAUGAGGUUGAGCCGAAAAUUCUUGACCGCCGGUAUAUUCUGCCCCGUCCGCUUGAGAGCCAUGGCGGCAGCCGGCGCGGCGAGGCCCGUCGUGAUCAUGGCGCUGGGGUUUGUCUUCCGUUCCUUCAAAUGUUUCUCCAUAAACUCGAAAAACGUCUUCGGCUUUUCUGUAGAUUCCUUCCAUUUUUCGUCGUAGAAGACCUGCGUAGUUCAAAGUGUGGAGAAGCGGUGAGUUUCUGGCUUUGUUUGGGAUUACGAGAAAAUUGCAUUAUAUGUGAUCCGAAAGCAUAAUAAGAAAAUGCUACUUUUUUUUUUUUUUCCAACUCUAUUUUCUUGGCUAGCAUUCCAUCCAAGCAGGGCCUUAAUUUUUUUUCACUUCGCUAUCUCAUAGUUUAAUAGUACGGAUGUCAAUGGUACGGAUAUUCGAGAUUUUAUCCGAACCCGAAUCCGAAUAAAGCAAAUUUAUCCGAUGUUAAAUGGAUAUGGCUUCGGAUAUGGAUAUCAAAAACAAAAACUCGAUGGAUAUGAAUAUGAAUAUGGAUUUUGACUGUACCCAAUCCGAACCCGAAUUCGAAUCCGACUUGAACCCGAAUUUAAUUUACAUUAUAUAUAUAUAUAUAUAUAUAUAUAUAUAUAUAUAUAUAUAUAUAUAUAUUUGAUAUUAUAAUUGAAUUUGUAUUUUAAAAAUUUAGAUUUAAUGUAAUAUAUUUUGUAAUAUUGAAAAGAGAAAUACUUGUUUCAGGUUCAAAUUUUCGGGUUCAGAUUUGGAUUCAGGUUUCAAAUUUUUUGGUCGGGUUCGGGUUUGGAUAUGGAUUUUUAAAAUCUAUGGGGUUCGGGUUUCAGGUUUGGAGCUAGGUUCGGAUUCAGAUUUUUGAGAAUCCGCCCUAAAUCCGACCGGUUGACACCCUAUUUAAAAGUGCAACUGCUCUCCUAUGAUUUAAUUUUUAGUUUACUAAAAAAUUUAUGUCAAAUAAGAUAGCAAAGUAAAAUUUUUUUUACAAUCACAUCAUAGUAGAGUGAAAAAAUGCACUAAACCACAAGUGGACAAAGUACAAUUUUUUAAACCAUGGAGUAGCAAGGUAAAAAUAAGCUAAAUCACAGGGGACCGGCAGUAUAUCCAACUUUUUGAACUACGGGGUGAUAAAAUAAAAAUAAACAAAAUUAUUAUUAAGAAAAAAAAUUCAACAUAAUUUCAAAUUUUUAGACCAAUUUAAAAACUAGUGGUAAUAUACAUGAUUCAAAUUAAAACAAAAUUUUAUGCAAGCGGAUAAUUGAGAGAAGAGCAAUGCCCAAGAGGGUAUUUUGUAAUUUAACCUAUAAUUAUAUAUUGAGAAUAAUAAAUAAAUAUAAUAAUGAAAACAAAAAAAUAAAUGGAAAAAUGCAUGGAUUUUCCCUCAACUAUAGGCCAAUCUAAAUAGCCCCAUCAUUUUUUUUUUUUUUUUGGUUCCAUUGAGACCCCUCAACUUCUAACUUUGGUUAUUUAAAUUAACGGUUCUAUUAGUUAUUUUAAUCAUUAAUCGACUUAGUUUUAUUUGCUAAACCAAGAUUCAAGCCAUUAAAUUUGUUGAAAUUACUAAUUAAUUUGAUAAAAUCUCCAAAUUUUUUUAUUAAUAUCACUUAAUUCCAAAAAAUUAGAAUCCAAGUGGUCUUAUUAAAAGAACUUGGUUAAUUAUGUACGUAUAUCGUAAAGUAAUAAAAUUACAUAUUUAUCCCUACAAAACUUUAUUUAUCAAAUGUAUCCCUCCAAAGUUGCAUUAAUUGCCUAUAAAUCCUUCUCCAUUAGUUGUCUAAUUAAAUUAACUUUUAAUACUUUUUAAAUUUUAUAUUUAACAUCACUUAUCAUUAUCAAUAAAUUUAGUCUAACUUUCAUGUUAUUUAAGUUAUAAAUUUUGAAAAAGGCUUAAAUCAAAUGAUACGUUAAAAAAAUUACACGUUUAUUGUAUUAUGUUUUUAUCUUUAUUGUUACAAAAAAUCUACAGCGAGUUAGAAUAUAGCAAAGUGAAAUAUUUGAUAGCACCCGAGAAGUUAAAUGUAAUUUUUUCAAUCCAAGAUGGAAUAAUUAAUUGAAUAACAACAGGAUUUAGUGUAACUUAUUGAGUUAAAAAGUAUUGACAAGAUUAAGUUGUAGGUCGUUAAAAAAAGAGGCUACGUAGGAAUCUUUUAUCGAGGGUACAACAAUAAAUAGUGAGCCAGUUAACCCGGUCACUAAAGAACUAAUUUGUAUUAUUUAGAGCUUUAUUGAAAAUAAAUUAUAUAUUAUUAUAUAUAUAUAUAUAUAUUAAUAUAUAAUAUAUAUAUAUUAGGUUAUAGGAGUGAGGGGUACUAUGUUUGGAAGCACGAGCUGUCCGGCUUAAGCUCGUUUUAUUGUUGCGACUUCGAAUGGUGAUCGGCUUCUGUUAACUUGAUCUGGCAAUAUUUGAAGUUACUAAAAAUAAAUUUUCUGUAAUUUUUUGAUUCAUUUGCGCUAGGGGUGUGAACGAAUGGCAGAAGUCCAAAAUUUACAGUGAAUAAAAUCUUGACAAAUGGUGUAAUUAUACUAAAUUUUAGCAUCAAAAUAUUGAUCUUAGUUUUAUAUAGUAUAGAAUUUUCCAUCAAAUUUACGUGUAUCUUGGAUAUUUUAACGUUAACUUGCAAACGGGCACUCACACGGGCCUUAAAUUAUUGAUUUUGAACCCUUAGAUCAUUAGGCAAAUGACAUCGAAAAAUCAUAAAAUUUAUUUUCUAAGUACUUCAAAUAUUAGAUCAUUAGGCAGUAUGAAUAGGUAACCCACGAUAGUAUAUUAUAUUAUAUAUAUAGUUUUAGUGCUAGGACUCUAUCCUAGUAUUAGGAUAGUAGCAUGCCAUCAAAUGUGUCUUGAGAUAGGGUAUUCGAAUCGAUGAUCGGAGCCGUGGUUUGAGUUUGUCUAGGUAUUUUGAAAUAUCUAGAAACUAAAUUUCAUAAAUUUUAAAAAUUAUUUACAUGGUGAUCAAAGUGUCGUAAAAUCGACAAUUUUUGACGGCCUAUAUGAGCCGUUUGCUUGUUUAACGGUGUAGAGCAAUCCAAAUUGCUUGAAUUUUUGAUAGAAAAUUCUUUAUACUAUUUAGAUAAUAUUUGAUAACUCUGAUUACGAACUGAGAGAGUCUAACCUCUAUUUUAAGAAGGUUAUUCAUUUAUGAUCGUUCAUUUUUCAACUUUUAAGAUGAACUUGAUAAUGAUUUUUAAAUAUUACAAAAUUUGGUUUCUAAACAUUUCUAAUUGUGUAGAUCAAUUUCAACGGUGCCGAUUAUCAAUUUGAAGUUCCGAUCAAUCAAAUCGACUUGAUAGGACAAGGGUCCCAAUCUUAUUAAUAGGAUUGUUUACCCCUCCUAUAUUAUACUGUUGUGGCUUUUGGAAGGACACAUUUGUGAUGACAAAAUUGACAUUUCACUUAUUUACUGUUAAAAUAUAAACAAUUAAUGAUAAAAAAUCAGAAUGAUAUAUUUAAAAAUAUUAAAAAUUUUGCAGGACAAUAAAUAAAAAUUGAAUUUUAUAAGAAUAUAUUUAUGAUUCAUUAUAUUUGCUUGGACCGGUAUGCAUUUAAUCCUAUACAAAAUUAUCUAAAAUAAUUUAGUUGAGGGGCUAGUUCAUGAUUCCUAUAGUUGACGGGGGGGUCUCUGUACAUUUUUGACCUAAAAAAUGAAUGAGUAGGUAGUCUUGCCUUUAUUUCCUCUCUGCUCGCUGACACAUCAUAAUGCUGUCCCGGCAAGGCUGCGUUAAACUCUCUGCACAACAAUUAAAAAAAAAAAAAGAAAAGAAAAAAGAAACUGAUGAUGCACGAAUCUUAAAGCACAAUACGGAAAUUGGUGAGGUUAGUAUGAGAACCAUCAACCAUUUUGAUUUGACUAUUCAAUCUUUGAAAAUUUUAAUUUUAUUAUCCAGCAUUCAAGUUGUUUGAUUUGAAUCAGUCGUCGUCGAUACUUUAACUUCAAAAUUUAAGCUAAUUAUUUACUUUAAUAAAUAGAUUAACUUCAUGUAGGUCCCUGCAAACACAAUGAAUGACAAAUAUAUCCCGACAAAGUUCAACUUUUAUAUAUUGUCUCUGCAAAAGUCCCGAUAUUUUCAAAUAUAUCCCUACUGUUAGAAUCCAUUAAAAAAAUUUAAUUAAUCAUAGGUUAAGUACUUAACCCUGGUUAGUUUUUGAUAUUUUUAUCCCUCUUAUAUUAUAAUGUUAUGUCUUUUGAAGGAAUAUAUUUGUGACGACCAAAUUGAAAAUAUAAAUAGUUCUCUAACGGUAACAAAUCAGAGGGACAUAUUUGAAAACAUUAAAACUUUUGCAGGAGUAAUAACAUAUGAAAGUUGAACUUUAUAAGAAUAUAUUUGUCAUUCACUAUAUAUAUGUUUAUAGAGGGACCUAUAUGAAAUUAAUACUUAAUAAAUUUAUGGUUGCCAGAAUUGCAUGUAAUAUACUAAUUAAACCUAUAUUUUGAAGUAAAAAUAUUGUUGACUGAUUCAAAUUAAAUUAAAAUUUUUAUAUAUUAUCUAGUCAAAUAAAAAAGAUUCGAUAGUUUGAAUAAGUUUUGUAUGUUUUUACUUUAAAAAUAAAUGAAGAAAGAUAGGGAGAAUUUUCAACGUGAGAUCAUAUUAUUCGCCGUCCGUCACAUGAACAGAAUGGCAGAUAAGGCAGUCUCACAUUACAUUACGGUCCUCUCUGCCAAUUUUUGGUAAAAAUGUAUGGUGACCCCUUAACUAUAGCCUGUUUUGAAAUGAACCCCUCGAUUUUCUUUUUUUUGGAUUAAAAUACCUUAACUUCUAAGUUUUUAAGAAUUAAGUAAUUUUAGUAAAAUAUAAAUAGAAAAACUUCAAAUACCAUUCUUGUGGUUUCGCAAUUUCUCACUUUAGUACCUUAUGAUUUAAAGUGUAUCUGUUUCGUACUCUAUAGUUUUAUUUUUCUCUUUUUGUUAUCCCCUCCACUAAUUUGUUUGUUAAAUCAGUGACAAAGUUAAAAUUAAAAUAUACUAAAGUGAAUAUUCGAUAAAAUAUAGGUGGAGUCUCUGAAGUUUUUUGUAUAUGAUUUAACAAAAAGUUAACGGAGGAGCUGACAAAAAGAGAAAAUAAAACCAUAGGGUACUAAUUUGAUACAGUUUAAGCCACAUACUACUAAAAUAAGCAAGUGCGAAACCAUAGGAGUGAUAUUUGAAGUUUACCCAAUAUAAAUUAGAAAUCUAAGCAAAUCAUUAGUAUUUCAUCGAAUUCAUGACUUCAAUUCAGUGAGUUAUUAAAUUUGAUAAAAUUUUUAACAUAAUUGAGCACAAAAACUCAAUUAAAAAAAUAGAACUUGAAGGGAUCUCAAUUAAAAAAAAAACAAAGCAAAACAAAAAAAGAAAAGUUGAGGGGACUAUUUCAAAACAGCAUAUUGUUAAGAGGGUCUCCAUUCAUUUCCCUAAAUUUUCUACUAAUUGGAUAAGUUUAUUAAAUGUAUUUAUAUAUAAAAAAAAACUUACUUGCAAAAGAUAACAAAAUUGAUAUGAAAAUCUUCGAAUGUUUUUAUUUCCUUGUCCUUAAAAUAUCUCUCAUAGACUUGAUUUGUCGCUGCUGCAUUAAUCCCUGGAAGACCUGUAAAAAUAUAUAUGAAGUAUGUUUAUUUAUAUAAACAUUAGAAAAAUAUUGGCUUAAAACAAAAUAUAGCAUCUAAAAAAUAGUGAAUGAGAAUAAGAGAGACAAUAAUUUGAUACGAGCGAAAAGCUUAAAGCUGUCAGAGAAUCGUAUCUUAAUAUUUUAUAUGUAUAUCCAACACUGCACCUCUGAUAUGCGAAGCUAGCAAGGUAUAUAUUUAUUUUGUAUAUUGUUGUUUGUUUUUAUUUUAGGCUAAAUUACAGAAAAUUUUUCUGUCACUAUCCACUUUUUCAUUUUCCUCCUCUGUCAUUCAAAAAUCGAUACUUUGCCUUCUUAGAAAAUGAAAAAUGUUCAUUUUGACCCCCGUCGUGAGUGCUUCGUUAGAGUUCCGUUUAUAUCAUAUUUUAUAUAUCCAAAAUAUCCCUGAAACGACCCUCCUCCUUCCUCAUCCUCGGCUGCGCCGCCUUGCCCUCCGCCGCGCCGCCUCGCCCUUCGCUGCCUCGCCCUCACCCACCUCUCUGUCCGUGCCCACACACACGCCCUCACCCUCACUCUCCCCCAUCCCGAAGAAGAUGAGGGGCAAUUUGAUUAUUUUGUUACAGCAUACUCCCUGUGAAAAUUUUUUAUUUUUUAUGAAUGUAAAGUGUAGGUUUUUUUAAUGACAUAGGAGAAAGUGAAAAGCAAAUAUUGACAGGUAGAUUUUCUAUAAUUUAACCUUAUUUUUAUACAUUGUAUGGUAUAUGUUAGAGAGAGUAAGGCUUGCAAUUCAACUCGCUGUUCGAAAGCUAACUCGUGUUUGGACCUAGAAGGAUUAAAGAGAGUAAUAAAAGAGAAUUUAGUGAUGCUAAAUAUUUGUGUAAUUUAGCCCAUUUUAGGCACCUAAAAUUAUACUAAAUUAAAACAGAGAGAAUAAAAUAAACCAAAAGCCUAGUGUGAUUUAAAAACUUAAGCUGCAAUGAACAACCUUGUUUCCAUAUGUUAAAUUUGGUUUUUUAGACAUAAAGCUACAACAUCACUUAUCAUUGAAAAAUGUUAAUGAAGCAUAUAGCUAAAAACAAAAUGAUCCAGUGUAGUAUAUAUAUAUAUAUAUAUAUAUGUAGAAACAUGCAUAAAUGUACUAAUUUACUCAAAAUAUCAUAGAUGAUAAAAGAGGGGGAAAAGUAAUAAAAAAAGGGAAAAAGAAGGGGUUUAUGUUGAUCUUACCAAAUUUACCCAACAAGCUCAUGGGUAAACCCAUUGAGGCCUAAUGUGGGGAAGAAGAGGAGGAAAUAUCACAAAUAAAUGAAAUAUUAGGGUUUGUGUACCUUAUAUUGUAUAGGAGUUAUUGUGUGUGUAUAUAUAAACAAGGAAGAGAGAGAGAGAGAGAGAGAGAGAGAGAGAGAGAGAGAGAGAGGAAGUUUGGAAUGCAUUCCUUUCCCCUCUCCUAGUCACACUCUUUGUUUAGAGAAAUUAUUCCAUGGACCAAUUGUAUAUAUUCAUACGCUUGAUGCACCACAUAAAGCAUUUUAAUCUACACGUCACAUACAUGAACACCGAAGACGUACGAAAUACGACAUGACUCGGAUAUGGCGAACUCAACAGUUUAAAAACAAAAAUUAAAACAUGAACACUGCGUGAAUACUGCUAAUAAAGUAUAAUAUUAUUAAUGUAAUAAUAAUUUGUAUUUAUUAUAUAUAAAAUAUUUAGUUUACUAAAAUAAUAUUUUAUUUUUUAUACUAGUGAAAGUUACUUAAUAAACUUUCAUUGAUAGUUCAUAUAUUUUCUAAAAAAAUUCAAAAAAAUUCGUCACCAUAUAUAAUUUAUUUAUAUUAUUUCAAAAAAUUUAUAUGUAUUCAUUAAAAGUUAAAAUAUUAAUUAUCUUAUAUUAUAUAUAUAUAUAUAUAUAUAUAUAUAUAUAUAUAUAUAUAUAGUUGAGCUAGAAUACUAUUGAUAGCAAACAGGUCUCAUUGCCACCCAUUUGUUUUCAAUGAUGGAGCCUCUAAAUUGACGAUCGGCACCGUUGAACAUGAUCUAUACCAGUUGAAGUGUUUAGAAAUCAAAUUUCAAAUCUUUUCGACAUCAUUUGCCUAAUGAUCAAAGGGUUUCAAAAUUUGUAAUUUUAAUGGUAGAUUUGAGGCGUUUUCUCGUUUAACGGCGCAAAGAUAUCCAAAUCAAUUGAAUUUUUGUUAGAAAAUUCUUUAAACUAUUUAAAACAAGAUCUAUACUCUUGAUCUUGAUUACAAGACUCCUAUCAUCACUUUUUAAAGAAUAUUCAGUUUCAACCGUUCAUUUUUGUGUCCACUCGAUGGAUAAGAGAACAAUAUCGAAAAUAUAUGAAAUUUGAUUUCUAAACACUUCAAGUAGUAUAGAUCAUGUUCAACGGUGUCGAUCGUCGAUUUGGAGGCUCCAUCAUCGAAAACAAAUGGGUGGCAACGGAGCCCAUUUGCUAUCGAUAGUAUUCUAGCUCAACUCUAUAUAUAUAUAUAGAAUUAGGUUGGAAAACUAUUAAUAGUAAAACGCUUUUUUUGCUAUCAAGUUUUUAACCCUUGGAUGAAAAAUUAUAGGGUCAGAAUGAUAUUAGUCGGUUAGAGUUGAGUGGUCCUCCUAGGGUUGAGUGGUCCCCACUGGGUUAUAGUAUUUAAUCCAAUGGUUAGAAAUAAUGAAAAGAGUUGAUUCAAAAGCAAAAAAACUGGUAGCAAUAAUAAAAUUUUACUACUAAUAGUAGCCCAGUCCAACUCUCUCUCUCUCUCUCUCUCUCUCUCUCUUUAUAUAUAUAUAUAUAUAUAUAUAUGCAUAAAAAAAGUGAAAUAAAAAAAUUUCAUAGGAAUGCGCCAUGAACGCACAUCCAUGGUGGGUUUGCGUCAAAUACGAGUCUAGCACGAACAAAGAUGUGUCCGACACGGACAUGCGCGACAUGUAACCGCGUCAUAAUACAUAGAUUUUAAUAAUUUACACCUUAAAUUAAAAUUUAAUUUGAUAGAUGUUAUAUAAUUUACCAUAUAAUAUUUAUAAAGCUAAGUUUAUAAUGGGACAUUAUCCAAUUUAGGAAGUAUUCGUGUCUAAAAUUUAUAAAUUUUUUUAUACAUAAAACACAUUUUCCUCAUAAAAUUUAUUAGGUGUGGCGUAUGAGAUGUGCUUAUACACCCGGUGCAGUGAAUAGUUUCUUCCUUUUUAAGAGGCUAAGUUGUGCUUUGAUACGUGACCUGUUGGGGAGGUUUCCUUGUUAACCUCUGCGUGGAGAACGUAGGAAUACGAUUCCGGCUAACUGAAGUGUAAUUACAUUUUUACCCCUGAAUCAUUAUUAUUAUUAGGGAAAACUUCAAAAAAACCCCGUGGUUCCACACUUUUUUAUUUUAGUACCUUGUGGUUUAAAGUGUAUCAAGUUAGUAUCCUGUGGUUUCUCACUUUAUCACUUUAGUAUUCUGUGGUUUAAAGUGUAUCAAGUUAGUACCCUGUGGUUUUAUUUUUGUACCAAGUUAGUACCCUGUGGUUUUUAAACCACAAGGUAUAAAGUGAUAAAGUGUGAAACCACGGGGUACUAACCUGAUACACUUUAAACCACAUGGUACUAAAGUGAAAAAGUGCAAAACCACAGGGUACUAACUUGAUAUAUUUUAAACCACAUGGUACUAAAGUGAAAAAAGGUGAAACCACAAGGGGGCGUAUUUGAAGUUUUUCCUUAUUUUAUUAUUAUUAUUUUAGAGAGAUAGGUAUCAUUCUACCUGCUUAAACUUAGUUAGAAAUAUAAAUCAAGUAGAAUUUGAACUUGGAACCUCGGGUACCAACCACCAAACUCUUUGCCACUUGCGUUAGGGACGUUUCGGUCUCCAGAGUCAUUAUUACUGCGUUUGGUUGGCGAACUAAGACUUCGUUUGAAAUUGCAAGAAGAUUACGUUACGUGUUGUGAGAAAAUACGAUGGAAAAAUACUCUAUUUGCCACUUGCGCUAGGGACGUUUCAGUCUCCAGAGUCAUUAUUGCUGCGUUUGGUUGGCGAACUAAAUUUCAUUUGGAAUUGCGGGGAGAUUGCGUUACAUGCUAUGAGAAAGUACGAUGGAAAAAUAUUCUAUUUGUUUCCGUACGUAAUAUUACAUUCCGCAUAUUGCGAUGAGUCGGUUAUAAUAUAUUUUUUGCGAUCUCACCGGAGAAUGUAGAAAUAUAUCUCUAUAUAUUUUUACCCCAACUCCAUUUUAUCUAAUGUAUUCAGAUAGGCCCCAAUAACAAACUAAGCCAAAAUUUUGGAGAACAACUUUUACUGUUUCCAUCGACCGUUCCUAGAGCAAGUAGCAAGGGCUUGGUGGUUGGUACUCGAGGUCUCAAGUUCGAAUCCUAGUUGAUUCACAUUUCCAGCUAAGUUUAUUUCUAAAUGAAAUAAACGAAGUGGGUAGCAUGCAACUCGUUUUGAUCUGAACAAUCCGUUUCCCCUAGUUCUUCCACCGUUUCGUUACAAAUUUGGGGAUAUCCCUGGUGUCAAAUGCAGCCUAUAAGUACUACAUCACAAGUGGGGAUGUUAAUGGGUACGGAUACCCGAAAUCUUAUCCGACCCUGAAUCCGAAUAGGGUGGAUUUUAUCCGAUAUUAAACGGAUAUGGUUUCAAAUAUAGAUAUCAAAAAUAAAAAUCUGAAGGAUAUGAAUUCAGAUAUGGAUUUUGACCGAACCCGACCCGAAUCCGAACCCGAACCCAACCCGACCCGAAUCCGAAAUUAGUUUAUAUUAGUGUUUGAUUCUCAAAAAAAAAAAAAAAAAUCCAAAUAGACUGUUUUUUAAUCUCUCUCUCUAAACAUAUAAAUCUAUAACGAAUACUUUUCUAAAUCCUAAAUCCUAAAUUCUUAGCCUAAACCAUCAACACAUUUAUAUGUAGAAAGAUAUCAAUGCUAUUUUAUACUUUGAAAAGGAAUUUAUAAAAUUACCAUUUUUGAGGAGAGUACGUAAUGGUAGUAGUGCAACCCAAAAUUCCAAGGGCUAAAAGUUGGGUUUUGUUUUAUCAACUUUUUUUUUUUUAAUAAAUAUUAAAAAUCUAAAAAUUUUACAAACACUUAGUUGAAGGGAUGUAAACUAUAUAUUUUAAAAUUUAAGCUAACUACUCACUUUUAAAAAUAUAUAGUUACAAAAAAAUAUAAAAUAUACUAACUAAAUAUGUAAAUAUAAAUGACAUAUUUAACUUCUGAAGUUAAAGUAUCAUUGACCGACUCAAAUCAAACAAUUCAUUAAAACUUAGAAAAGUUGAAAAGCCAAUUCAAAAUUAUCUAUAAUUCAGCUAUUAUCUAUAAUUUAGCGAGGUUCUACAGUACGUCUCUUGUGCUUUUGAAAGCAUGAAAAUCUCUGUACUUGUAAAUUAUUUUUCAAUGAUGGGACAUCCAAUUUAACGAUCGACUCCAUUAGACAUGAUCUACGCUAUUAGAGCUAUUUACAAACCAAAUUUCAUAAUUUCUGACAUUUUUUACCGGGUGAUCAAAUGGUCUCAAAAAUAAUUAUUUUAAUGGUCAAUGUAGCGCGUUUGUAAGUUCAACGGUGUAAAACAAUCUAAAGUAGAUGAAACUUUAAUAAAAAAUUCUAUAUUAUAAUAUCAAGAGGAAGAUCAAUACUUUCGAUUUGAAAUUUAAAACUUUCAUUUGUAUUUUUUUAUAGAAUUAUUAUUUACAAUAGUUCAUUUUGAGGCUUGUUCAUUAGACAUACGAAGUCAAAAAAUUAUAAAAUUUAGUUUAAUUCUAGAUAACUUCGACAUUGUGGAUCAUAUUUAACGGAAUAGAUCGUGAAAUCUGGUGUUCUAUCAUGGAAAAUAAUUUGCGAGCACUAAAAUUUUAGUGAUUUUUAGUGAUUUCCAAAGCAUAGCAGCAUAGCUCCUAAAAUUUGAAGCGUAGAAAUUAGCCCAAAAAAUUAUGAAAAAACUGCUUUUACAGAGAAGUUUUUUUUUUUUUUUUUUUUUUUUUUUUUUUUUUUGCCAGAAACAGUUUCUGAAAUAUUUAUUAAAAAGAAAAAAUAUAUAUAUAAAAAAAUUAAUUUUAUACAGGUUCAUGUAAAUAUAGUGAGUUGUAAAUAUAUUCCUACAAAGUUUAAUUUUUAUAUGUUGUCUCUAUAAAAAUCUUGAUGUUUUCAAAUACCCGCUUGUUUGUUACCGUUAAAGCAUUAUUUAUUUUAUAAAUGAAAUGACCUUUUUGCCAUCACAAAUAUAUUCCUCCAAAAAUUUCAACUAUUAAUUGAAUAGGAAUAGAAAGGUCAAUUCACCUCAUUAACUAGAAUUAAAUAUUUUAUCUAUGGUUAAUUAAUUUUUUCUAACAUAUCCUAAUGAUAGGGAUAUUUUUAAAAAUAUCAGAACUUUUGUAAAAAUAAUAUAUAAAAAAUUAACUUUGUAGAAUUAUAUUUGUAAUUUACUGUAUUUGCAGCUCCCUCUUAAAAUAACCCUAAAAAAAAGGGUCGGCAAAAUUUCCCGCUUUCUAAUGUACUCCGCUGUUAUUUUUGUUGCCCCAAAAAUGCAAUACAUUAGAAGAGGUGAUUCUCCUCCUCCUCCCCGUCUCCUUUUUUUUUUUUUUUUAAUGCCAUAAAUAAAUAACAUCUUUGAUUUCUUCUCCAUUGAUCAAAUUUCUCCUUUUUUUUUUAAUGCCAUAAAUAAAUAACAUCUUUGAUUUCUUCUCCAUUGAUCAAAUUUCUGGUUCAAUCGCAUGAAACUCAGAUGCAGAUCGAUCUUCGCUGCGAAUCGCUUCUCAGCUUCCCCGCCUCCGAUUCUAACCUGGCACUAGGGUUUCAGUCACUGUUACAUUGCUGAAACAUUUAUUUUAACUGGUCAAUUAUUAGGGUUCUGUCCUAAAUAAACAUUUGACUCUGCACAUUUAAGCUGCAUCUUGAAUCCUAUGGCUAUUUUAAUCACUGCUGUCUCAGUUAUUUUGGUUUUGUUCUUUGAAGGAGAUUGAAUGUGGUACCUAUUUUUUGCCAUGUUAGCACCAAAUUAUGUUUUCCGUCCCGGUAAACCCGCUUUUCGUCAAUGUCCGUCAAAAAUUGGAAAAAUUUUGGGGAUUGAUUACUGUUAACCUAGUUAAAGGUUAGUUGAAUACUUGAAUUAAUCUUUUAUAGUAUGCUAGCUAUAGUUUGCCGUGUGUGAAUUGUUCUUAUUCAUUGUGUUUAUAAUUACAUUGAGAUUUUGGAGGAGUCGAAGUCGAAAACGCAGUGAUGAUUUGGGAAAAAUUUAUUAUUGUAGAUCGUAGAGUAUGGCUUUUUGCAUAAAAGGAUCUUCCGAGCUCGUUAUGCUUGCUUUAUUAUAUCACGGUUUUGCUUGCUUUAUCUGUUAGCAGUUGCAGUGAUUGUAAAGAUGUCCAACAACAUUUGUGCUUUUAUUUGUAAUUUAAAUUUCGGUAUCAAAUGCUAGUUAAUGUGUUGACUAGUAAAGUUCGUAACCAAAACACUCUAUGUAAUCGAUCUUGGACGCAUUAUAUCAACAUUGCGACGUUUUAAUUUGUUUUUGUUUUGCUUGAAAAGAUUAGCUUGCGAUGUUUCUUUCCCUAAUCAGGGUUACUUUUUCUUGCUAGGAGAUAUCUAUUUCUUUAGAGGCUGAAGCCGAGUUAUCUAUCACUACUCGGUCCAUAUUUAAGUAUAAUGUGUUGCUACUUUCGGUAAAUGCAGCGGACCAAUUUGUAAUGGCCUCCCUGUCCUUGAUGAUCAUUCUCUGCUCACUACAAUGAAGUUUUGUCUUUUCUUCUUUUGUUAGGAUGCCGCGCGGAUUAUCAAACUUCGAACACAAAAUUGUCCUGAUUCGAUCAAAUUUCAGUAUCAUGGCGCCCUCAAGAAGCACACUGAAGGACCAAAGCAGCGAAAAGAAUGAGCAGACUUCUAUCAGGUGGGUCUCCCUUGUGUAAUUUCAUUACUUCAUCAACAUUUUUGAGUUUGCAUUUGUCAAAUAGAAAGAGAGAAAGGGAAAGGACAGCGGAUAUAGACAAAGCAACCCACUGACAUAUAUUUCACGUUACUAUACAUUCAUUCGCUAUUUAGUUUCUUGAGCGAAUGAAUUUCGGCUUAUAAAUUCCGUUCUUUCCUGAGAAAUUUAAUCACUUUUAGAAUGAGCUAAGUCAGGAACUGUGUUUUUCGACUAUUACUGCUGUUCUUAUCAUCAUGGAUAAUCAACAUAAAUCAUACUUUUGUUUUGGGUUGUCUUGGACACUGUCAUGCUUUUAGAUCUUUGAGGCUUAUAAUAUUUGCAAGCUCAAUUUCGCAUAAACAAGCAUGCAAAUAUUUGUUCACCGAGGUAGAAUGGCCAAAACCAAUAUUAGUUUGGUGUAUAUUGGCCGUGCUAAAGAAGAGACUUAUCUUAAGGAACCAUUGUUUUGAUCAAUGAGCAACCUAAGAAGGAGGUGGGCGUGAAUUAGUGAGCAAUUGAAAAAUUGAGUGCUCCAUUUUAAUUGUUGAACAAGCACAAAUAUUAAUAUAUCAUUCCGAAGUCUGGAAGGACCUAGUCUGAAAAUCUGAAUAUCCAAUCUGCGGUGGUUGACUGUCCCGGCCAAUUGCUGUGGAAAUAAUUAGCUGGCUGAGGGGUAAAAAAUUUCUUUUGUUGGUCAACCGGCCUGACGGAACGAGGAUUGGAGUUUGGCCAUUUCGAUUGAUCAACAUGCUUCUGACUUGUUUCAACAGCUCCUUCUCAGCCAAUAUUUUAUCAAAUUUGAAACUAAUUUCGGCGCAUGAACAAGUAAUGGAACGAGAAGAUAGUUAAAAGUUGGGAGAGUAUGUUAAUAGAGUUCAAGUUGCGUAAAUUUGAGUAGAAUUCUUAGACUUAUCUAAGAUUUAUCUUUACAUCAGAAUCUAUCUGAAAUUUGAAAUUUUGACCUCAUAUAAUUUCUAGCGUCCCUAUGAAUCAUCUAGUGGCCGUCUGAUCCAUUUGCUUGGACCUCAAGGCUCCGACUCCUUGAUGCUUCCUUCUCUUAAAUUGUUUUAUUGAUUUUGUUGCGAAAGACCAGCACCGAACACCAAGUUCAUAGGGCAGAAAAGAGAAGAAAGGAAGAGAAGAAAAGAAAAUGAACAGAACAAUGAAAUUAUGUGGCUUGGAUCUGAUGCCUACAACCGUGGGUGAAGGAGCGAAGAUUCCGUAUUAUAGUGAAUAAUUGGAUUCAAAAAGACGACAAGCUUGCAGAAAACGUGGCCUAAGAACAUCGUGUGCUCCACAUGAGUAAUAAUUCCUAUGAAAAGGGGCAUAAGUACCAUAUAAACGAUUCCAAAUAGGGUCAACAAAACUCGUGAAUAUAAGGUUGAAUCUGAUAUUUAUAGCCUGAAAAGGUACGAAGCGAAGACAAAUGAACAUGCUGCUGUACCAAUGUGUGACCUGUAAUGCAAACCAUCUCUGCCUUGAGCAUAGCUUUGUGUCUGCUAUGUUAGGAUUGAUUCUCCUCUGUAAAAUGUUAUCCAAGUCUAUGGUCACUGAAUCCAGAAUUUCAUCCAUGGGUUGCCUGAAAAUCUCCUAAAAGUUUCUCUAAGGACUUGAGGACUUAUAGAGCAUUGUUUACAAAUUUGCUCAUAAAAAGAAGGAAUCUGCUUUCAUAAUCAUUGUCGACGGGAUUUUUUUUGGCUAAGCUAUGACGGGCAAACUUCCAAGUAUUCAAGUUUGGAUUGUUGAUUGAUCUAUCUAUGUUCUUUGGCAGUCUAGAAAGAUUCAACUUGACCGUGAUGGUUUGAACGUUGCAUCUGUCAUCAUCUGAUGGAAGUUGGUGAAUAUUUUUUAAAUGAAUAUCUAGUUUGAUCGAUCGAACAAUGUUAUUGAGCACAUAAUAUUGAGGAAGUUUGAUUUGUUCCACUAGGUUGAUUAAUCAGAGUAUCAAACCGGGCAAAAUAUUAGAAUUUAACAGAAGUAGAGCUAACUGCCAUUGAUCUUAGUUAGUGAGUAAUAUUUCAGAGUUGGAGAUCCUAUAUUAUUUGCAUCUUAGCUCUAAUCCAAUGUAUAAGAGUGUGUUGUAAGCAUUGUUGUUCAAAGGGCUAUUCUACUCUGCGUAAUGAAACUAGUUGUGGGGGGAUGUUAACAGAUACGGAAACCCAACAUCUUUACCUAAUUUUGAAUCUGAAUGAGCUAGAUUUAACCAAAAUCAGAUGGGAAUGAAUUCAAUUAUGUCAGCAACAAUCCGGAUUCUAGCAAGUUCUGUUUUGAUUACCCGAAUCAAACCCAAAUACAAAACUAUGCCUGAAUCCAAACCCGUAUACAAACCGUUCUCUAGGGCUUGAUUUAAUAUAUUUCAUUGAAUAAUUGUGUUCAGUUAGGGGAUUCACGUAUGACUUUUUUGAAGUGGGUUCACUUUUGGUUAUGGAUUUUUAAAACUGUUUGAUUUUGUUUAUGGUUUCGGGUUUUCGGGGUUGGAUUUUGGUUUUAGUUUUAGUCUUUCUAAAAAUCACCUGAAUCGGACCUGUUGACAUCUGUAACCAGUGUCCAGAAGUCUUCUUCAAUCUUGUAUCUCUGCUAUUUGACACACUGAAAGUAAACUCACAUGUGGUGUAACGGAAUUUUCAACACAUAAGAAGACUAACAAAAUGAGUGUAAAAGGUUUCAGAUCCUCUGUUGGGUACAUAACUGCAUAUACAACUUGCAUAGUUGAAUAAGACAUUAGAUAACAUAUAAACACCAUUCUAGACUUGACAGAUUGGUGAUUCAGUAAUUGAUGCUCAAGGAGUAUCAAGCUUUUUUGCUCAAGGGAUGGGGUGAGAAAAUUAUCCUCACACCAUCAAAAGAAAAACUCGAAAAACUAAAAACUACUACUAAGUUGUCGCAUUUGAUGCUUAAGGAGUAUCGAGCUUUUCUACUCAAAAGAUCAUGUGAGAAAAUUAUCCUCGCAUAAGAAAGUUUCAAAGUAGAAAACUCCUGCAUCAAAGCUUCAAACCAGAAAAAAUAGUAGUCUUCUACAUUUUAGCCACUAGAGAAGAAUAUGUAAUGUCAAGCUCUCCCGAUCUUGAGGCUAUCUAUGAAGCUCCUCUGGUUUUUGAUCUUCCAGUGAAGAUAGUCAAGGUAGUCUCUAAAGCUGCUGUCUUCGUAUCUUUUUGGCUGCUGCCCAUCUAACAGCUCUUUGGCGGUGCUAACCUUCUCGUCAAUGGAAAGACCGUGAAUGCUGGCUAUUGAGAUCCUUCUAGUGUCGGGGUUGAGAACCACUCUGUGGAUUAGAGUCUUGAACUCACCAUUACUCAGCACCUCUAGAUGGUCACCUAUAUGGACAUGAAGGGCCUCGGGCUGGUGUGGGACUGCUCUCCAGCACUUGUCGUCGUGGUCCAUGACCUCGAGGCCGUUGCAGCUCUGGAGCAGGAUAGUAAUGAAGCCAUAAUCAGAAUGGGGAAACAACCCAACCAUGACAUCUGGCUGGGAAAACUGGGGAUAACCAUUUACUGCCAACAUUUGCAUGCCCUCCUCGAGCUCCUUGCGCAGGUAUGCCGGGCCCAGUCCUAGGCUUUCUAGUAUUGCAUCCAUCAGUUGCAACGCUAGUUUCCUGGCUUCAAUAGCAAACAUUCCCAUCUUUUCCCUGAUCGAAGGAAACACUAAGCCCUAUGAGUUAGGCUUAUAUGUUUUCUCACAAUUGAUAUAUGAAAGAAAACAUUAGUCUUUCAAUGUUGGGUAGUAACUAGCAUGUAUACCUGUAACUUGGUGGUUCUGCAGGCCACAAAUGGAUCCAAUCGCUAAGAGGGUGAGCAUAGUGCUUCAGGAAAGAUCUUGCCUUUCCGUCCUUUGUGCCCGUCUCGUAUCUAACUGGUCUGCGGAUGUCAUCUGACGCAAAUUGUCCCUUAGCCUCUUUCGAUAGUGCAAAGAAGUCGGAAGCAGCUUCAAGAGCACCUUUCAUGACUGAUUGGCUAAUUCCAUGGUUUACUACCUGCAUAACAAAGCUAAAUUUGAAUUCCGUGUUAUUCUCCACAUGUUUAUAAAUGUUGGUUGUUUAUCGUUUUAUUUAUCUCCAAGUAGCUACUGAACUUCUUAUUAACUAGCACACUGGCAAUUAACUUUUAGAAAGUUGGCAAAAGCCUUUAUACAGUCGGAGAUUCUCCCUUAUCAUUUCUUGCUAUUUGUGUCUUUGUCAGAUCGUGCUGUUAUACUCUUUACAGUGAAUAAUUGCAUAUGUUUAUGUACAAUGAACAACCAUUUACGCCAACCAAUUUCUACUGUAGGAACAUCUCAAGCUGAUGAUGUUUAAUUUGUUUACAGCAUGUAGACACCUGGGUGGUAUGUAAUUGACAGUUGCAUUCUACAAGUACUGUUCUAAUCUUAAGCAAGUGUUUCUGUACAAUGAAAACUACAUAAACCGAUGGAGUUUGAAACUAGAAACAACUCAAGCUGAUGCUGUUUAAUUUACAGAACAUAUAUAAAAUCUUGGUGGUAGCUAGCUAGUCGACGGAUGUGCAUGUUGGUACUGUUGGCGUCUUUUGCGAUCUUCUCUCAACAAGUUUGCCGCAUAAAAUACCAUGUGGUGAUGGGCUAAUCGUAACCAUGUGGUUACGUACAAUGAGACCCAUUUACACUGACAAAGUUCUGCGCUGGAAAUAUCUCAAGCUAUGCUGUAUUGUUGAGAGAUCUAGACAUCUUUGUUGUAACUGCUCGGCAGAUUUGCAUGUUGAUGGUGUUGGUGUCCUUUGGAGCCUCUUCUCAACAAGUUUACCACAUAAAAUAUCAUGUGGUGAUGUGCUAAUUGUAAGCAUGUAGUUCUGUAUAAAACCAUUUACGCUAACAAAGUUCCACAAUGGAAACAUCCGAAAGCUAUGCUGUUUUAUUUGCAGAAUCUGAACAUCUUGGCGGCAGGCGAUCGACGGAUGUUCGUGUUGGCGGUGUUGGUAUUUUCCGCAGUUUUCUCUCUACAAGUUUAUACAUAAAAUAUCAGGUGAUGCACUAAUCUAAUCCUGUUUUUGUGUAGAGUGAAAACCAUUUCAACAGCAAAGUUCCAGUGGAAACAUGCUGCUUCAUCUACAGAACCUAAACAUAUUGGCGAAGGCUGUCGACAGUUGUGCAUGUUUGGUGCAUUCCGUAGUCUCCUCUCUACAACCUUACCACAUAAAAUAUAGAACGGUAAUGUGCUGAUAUUAAGUAAUUGUGUUUACAUACAAUGCAAACCAUUUACAAAGAUUCAAGUUGACGUUGUUUAUCACAGAACCCAAACAUCUCGGUGAUACACAAUCGAUGGAUGCAUGCGCACGAUGGUGUUGACGCCUUUCGCCGGUAUCCUCUCUACAAGUUUAUCGCAUAAAAUACCAUAUUGUGCUGUGCUAAUUGUUAUCAUUUCUCUUGUAUCAUCUGCAGAAAGUGUUGAAAGUGUGUACUGAAAAACACGCUUGCCGACUGUUUCAUCAACAUGAACGUAGAGAAAGUUUCAUUCGUUUGCGGCAUGUAGCAGACAGCUAAGAUAUGCUAAACUGUCAACGUGAAGGGAAGGAAGAAAAGAAGCAUACAUUACCUGGAAAUACCCGUGUUUCCGGCACGCCUUAGCGAUGUCUUUGAGCAUGAGAGAUCGUUGCGCGGAACUCUGGUUAAGCCUGCAGAGGUCGACGACCGGUAUCUGCAUCGGCUUAGCUUUAGCUCCAACCGGAAUUGGAGAAGGGAUGCUCUGCGGCAGCGCGCUCAAGGUUGCUGCUAGUGCUUCUGCUUCUGCUUCUGAGCACUGCUAUGUUCUACAGGAGAGUGCAAUAUAUGAGGCUUAUGGACAAUGCUCAGAUGGGGUGUGGGAUAUUUAUAGGCUUCGUGUGGCAGCUACUGAGCACUGCUAUAUUCUAUGCAUAGUAAAUGUAGCCACUAGCUUAGCUUGUGGAGGGGAAAUGCUUUGCAUGUGAACCUCAAAGAAGCUGUGGGGAGAAGCUGUUGCUUUUGGGUCCAGGAGCAGAUCCCAGGAGCCACUCUACCUUCCAAAUAAGCUAUUUUCUUGUGUCCUUUUUCUAGUUUAACUACUAUUCUAUAUAGUAAGGAUAAGAUGUUUCUUUUUCUUUUUAAUUAUUUUGAGGAAGAUAGUGUUACUAUGCUUUCCACUUUGUGCUUCUUUUUCUAGAAAUAAAUUCAAAUAAAAAUAUAAAGCAAUUAAAUUUCAAACUUGGGCCAUCAAAUCUUUUUAGACUUUGUUUGGUUCGGAUAUAAAUAAGAAUUGUUUAUUCGAGAAAUAGAUACAAGUUCAGGUGUAAGUAAGAACUAAAUUAGUUUUAUGUUUGGAUGGAAAUUUGAUUGUUUUCGAGAAUAAAAAAAAUAGCGUUUGGAUAGAUAAAAUGAAAUAAGAAAAAAUUAAAAUUUCAAAUCACAAAUUUCAAAAUUCAAAAGUUUAAUUUUAAAUUUAAGGUCAAAUUUAAAUUUUAAAAAUGUAAAACAUUAAAUUUUAAAUUUAAAAAAUUUAAAAUUUAGAAUUUAAAAAAUUAUAAAUUAUAAAUUUUGUAAUAAAUUUAAAUUUAUAAAUAUCUCUCUCUCUCUAGCUAAAGCUAGAACAAGCUUGUUCCACCUAAGGGGUGGGAACAGUAGUUCCCACCUCUCUUUUUUUUUCUUUUUUUUUUUUUUUUUUUUUUUUUUUUUGUUUGGGUACAAAGGAGGGAAUAAGAUCUUAUUCGAGCCAGAUUAUCCAUCAAGAUUGCUGCGAGAGUAUUCAUGUUCAUUGCAAAAGUUGGACAGUUCCCUUCUCUACCAGCUUCAUCCAGGAACUGUACAUCGUCAAAAGCCAUGAAUUCUGGUGGCUCUUCAAGUAUCAAUCAAGUAAAAUCUGCUGUACACACAUCUGGCGAAAAGAUGGUCAUUGCAACGUCAGUACAUAGCAUAUAGGCCUAGUCCCCAUCCAUCCUCUCUUAAGUAUUAUCUACCGUAGGGAUUUUUUUUUAAGUACUAAACAAAUAAAGAUCUUUACUUUCACUAGUACUUUUAUAACCUUCAAAUCUCAGGCAAAAAUAUAUCUCUAACACUUCCAUCGCUAAGCAUCGUAUACAAAGAUUGGACCGUGAACUUGUGUUCCUUAUUCCAUCGUCCAAAAUAUCUUAUCCGGUUCGUCAACAGCUUUUACCACCAAAGCAUGCGCUUGAGUUCCUAUACUGCCUAGUUACUACUUGACUCGCUGAAUUAAUCUCCUGAAAAUUUUCCUCCAUCUCCCAUCCUUUGCUAGCAUAAUAUUCUUUACAGUAACAUUCUUAAGCUCCACUUUAUCAUAAACCUCAGGUACUAAGAGAGCGUAACGAGAUUUCACCACACCAUAUAUCCGACAAAAGUCAAUAUGCCGGCCAAACUCACAAAUGAAGCAUCCCUAAGCUUAAUCACAUCAUCCACCACAUUGAGGCCGGGUUUAAAGGACUUUCCUUCCCUCUAGAGUUUUCUUCUAUUGCCUCAAAUGUUGAAAUCAAAAGUAUGUGAUCAAAAAACUCAUGACUCAAAGUUUAGGGACUAGUAAUGCAAUUAUAACAUACUACAUAUUAUAUAUAUAUAUAUAUAUAUAAUAAAUAUAUAGAGAGAGAGAGAGAGAGAGAGAGAGAGAGAGAGAGAGAGAGAGAGAGAGAGAGGGAGAGAGAGAGAGAGUAGUGCUACAAUACUCUUAUGAGUAUAGAGUCCUUCGUACUCAUAAGUUAUUUUCGAUGUUCGGGCUUCCGAAUCGACGAUCCACACCGUUAAACAUGAUCUAGAGUAUUUGAAACUUCUAGAAAAUAAAUUUCGUAACUUUUCAAAAUCAUUAUAAAGUCCAUCAAGCCGGUAUAAAAUGAACGGUCAAAAUCGAACGACGUCCUAAAAAUUGAUGAUCGGAUCCUUCAAUUUAAGAUCGGAGUUAUUGAUCUUUAUUUAGAUAGUGAAUAGAAUUUUCUAUCAAAAAUUCAACCUAUUCCGAUUUUUUUUCACUGUUAAACUAGCAAAUAUCUCAUACCGACCGUUAAAAAUUGUCAAUUUUGUGAGCUUUUGAUCGUAAGGUAAAUGAUAUUGAAAAAUUAUAAAAUUUGAUUUCUAAAUGCUCUAGAUAAUGUUUAACGGUAUAGAUCGUCGAUUCGGAAGUUCUAUCAUCGAAAACAACUUAUGAGUACAAACGUGAUCGUACUCAUAAGAGUGUAGUAGCCGGACUCUAUAUAUAUAUAUAUAUAUAUAGAGAGAGAGAGAGAGAGAGAGAGAGAGAGAGAACUAGGCUAGAAUACUAUCAAUAGCAUCAAGCUAUUGGUUCUAUUAAUUUUUUAAUCCUUGGAUUAAGAGAUAUGUGGUUAGGAUGAUGUGGGUCCGCUAGGGUUGAGUGAGUGGUUGGUUGAAUAGUAUAAUCUAACAGGUGGAAAUGAUCAAAGGGGUAGAUCUAUGCACAAAAUCAGAGUUUAACUAGUUAAAUAUGAUUGCCCAUCCCAUAAAGAACUCAAAAUUAUAGUUUAUUCAUCAUGUUGUUUUGUGACAUACAAAAAACAUGCAUGUGUGGUAUAAAAAUUAUUAUCAUCAUUAUUACGAUUUUCCAACCUGUUCAUGGUGCACACGACGCUUAACAUUAAUUUUUUUUAUUAGGACAUGUGCUAGUGUACGUUUUUUUCGCAUUAAUAAAAUUUAUCAUUAGAAGUUGCCGAGUAAAUUAAAAGAGAAAUGCUAAGCUUAUAACUCAAAUUGAUAGUAAUAUCUACAAUUCUUAUGUGGGUUGUUUGACUAUCUACAAAAGAGAUUUUAGAGUCAAUUUUGUUUUUCAAUAAAAUAUUUGAUAAUUCUUUUUUUUUUAAAAAUAAUUCUAUAUUUUACGAAACUUAUUUCUUGAAAUCCAAUUCUCUUAUUUCACCUAAAAAAAUAUUUUAAAAAGAGUAACAAAGUAAAUUCUUUUAAAAAAAAGUAUAGAAUGACAGAGUAAAAAAUGUGCUAAAUCACAUAAAUAGUUAAAUCUAAGUUUUUAAACUAAAGGGUGGCAAAAUAAAAUGCAUUAUACCAAAGGGGGCAAAGCACAACUUGACGAUUACCCUAUUUUAUUUAUUUUAAUUUUAAAUUUUGUACUAACUAUUACAUGCACGUUCCUGUAUAAUGCAUUGUACUGCUAAAAUGCAACCAUAGAGGACUCAUAUCAAAAUCAAAUUUUAGUUAGUUAAAUAUGAUCUAUAAUAUAUAAAAGGUUUAUAUAUUUUAAAAAUAACAAAUAUGAGGUAUACAUUUCAGUAAAGUAUAUGGUUGUCUCUCCCAACCCAUCAUGCACAUGGGUGCACAAAUGCAUGACACUCAUAAUAAUAACACAACCCAUAUAAAGAGGCUACUAUGCUUCUGAAAACACGGAGCCUUCCGUACUUUCAGGUCGUUUUUCAUGUUGCGACUUUCGAAUCGUCGAUCGGCUCCGUUAAACUUGAUCUAGAGUAUUUGAAGUACCUAGAAAAUAAAUUAUGCGAUUUUUCGAUAUUAUUUGCCUAGUGAACGAAGGGGCUCAAAACCAACAGCUGAAAAUAAAAAUCUUACAAAACGUGAUAAUAUGACAUUAAAAUUUUAGAUCAAAGAUAUUGAUCUUGCUUUAUAUAGUAUAAAGAAUUUUCUGUCAAAAUUUCACGUGAUUUGAAUAUUUCUACACCGUUAAACUUGCAAACGGCGGCUCACUAUGGCAAGUAAAACUAUUGAUUUUGAGGCCCUUCGAUCACUAGGCAAAUGAUAUCGAAAAAUCAUAAAAUUUAUUUUCUAGGUACUUCAAAUACUCUAGAUCAAGUUUAACAGAGCCGAUCGACGAUUCGAAAGUUGUAACAUCGAAAACGACUUGGAAGCACGGAAGGCUCCGUGCUUCCAAAAGUAUAUUAGCCUCACACGCUCAAAAUUAUAGUUCAUUCAUCAUGUGUUUUAUAAUAUGCAAUCAAAAAAACAUGUGCCUAAAGUAUAUAUAGUUUUAUUCAUCAUGCAUGUGUUUAUGACAUGCCAAAAAUGUGUGUAUUAAGUAUCAUUAUUUUUUGGCACAUGUAUUGGAUUAUAUGUAUUAUUAUAGUUUAUGAUUUUCCAACCUGUUCUUGGUGUAUGGGACACAUGUUGUAAAUAUUGGCUAGGACAUGUGCCAACAUUUCUACUGCCAUAAACAGUUUUGGCAUUUAUAAAAUUUGUUAUUAGAAUUAAGUUAAUAUAUUUAUAUAAAAAGAGCAAUUUUAACUUUACAUCCAUCGUAGAUAUAGCGGUUUUUUAUAUAUGCAAGAUAGCUGUUACGACGAGCGCACAAAUAAAAACAAAAAAUAACGAUCACAGAUCUAGUCUACAAAGCACAAAAUAGAAAAAAGAAAAUAUAAACACAGAGAAUUCAUGUAGAAAAUCCUUUGCACAAAAAAUUACAAGUGGAAAAAGAGAGAAGCUUACUAUGAAAAAAGAUACACUGUUGUAGAAGAACAAUUCAAUGUAUCAUCUCUAGGGCAAAAAGAAAAAAGAAGUUCCUUUACGUAUUUCUUCAGUAUCAAAUCUGAUUCGUAACACGGCAGCCCGAGCCUUCCGUUUCCACCACAGACAUUUAGGUUUUUUUUCACCAAUUAUUUUUCAUAAUUUGUCGAUGAAUUAGAGAUACAAAAUUAAAAUCGAUAAUCAAAUUUCGAGACAUAUCUAAUUGCGACGAAAUAACAAGCAACCUAUUAGAAUAAAAUAUUAUUUCAAAAACUGAAUUCGGUGAGCCUAUUUAAGCACAACUACAACUUAGAAUUAGUUUUCACAACCUCCAUAUGCAUACUACCUCUAUAUAUCAAAAUGUACUUUUAUAGAUGUUUUAGAAUACAACUUUAAAAUAUACAAGCAACUUUCAAUUUUUUUUAAUAUAUAUUUUUUUUCUUUAACAUCCAAAAUGUCAUUUGAUAACAAAUAAAGUAAACCAUAUGUCUUCUCAAUGGUGCUCACGAAGGGGUUAAUCGAAAGCUAAUCAAAUUUUCCAGUGGUCACAGCAAAUACACCCUAGAGUCACUUAAUAUUAUGUGCCUAGUGUGGUGCACACUCUUUCAUUACAAAUAAAGAUCAAUGUCACAAAAAUAACAUCCUUUUUAAUGCGUACUAUACCUUUAUAAUGUUGUCUUUAUAUAUUAUUAGUUUAUUAGUAAAUUCACGCAAUCGAGUGCAGUCACGAGUCAGUCAAAAACUUUCUCAUCAUAGAUGUUGAUAUAUCAACAACAUAUAAAAAUAACAUUGUGUGGAGGACACAAAGGAUUUUUCUUCUUAGAAAAUAUAGUGUACUAAGUUUUGAAAUAUUACACUAAACUUCGGCCGAAUUAGGUAAAAUAUAGUUGGGAGAUAAUUUAGGCAUGCUUAGAAAUGAGUUUCGAGGGUUCCGGAACGAUUAAAAGUGAAUUAGAGCUCUAAGAAGAGAAAAUGAGAAUUUUUGAAAAAAAAUGCAUUUUUGUGCUGUUGGACCCUCAGGGUUAAGACCACGGCAGUAGUAUCCGAACCUUGGCAGCAGCAUCCGAACCUUACCUACGUAGAAUGAAAAAUGAGCUACGGGUUCCGGACCCUGAACUCGAGGUCCGGACCCUCCGCUCGUAAAAUGCCCAAUUCGGGAGGUUUUUGGCAAUUAUAGCAUUCCCCUUUUAAAUAGGAACCCUCCCAUCUCUCUCUCUCUCUCUCUCUCUCUCUCUCUCGUUUUCUACCUCACGCACAGAAAAAGAAAGAGGAAAAUCCUUCUCUUUUCUCUGCUCUUUCACUUUCAAAAUCUGUCUCCAAGGUGGAGAUUUUGGUGGAGAUCGAGCUUGGAAAGCUUGGAGGAGUGGAGAAUUAAGCCCUAGCGUGUGUAGCCGCUUGGAGAGCUUUGUGGUUGAGGUGUGUUUUUGGAUUCUAGGGUUAGGGUUUUGUUAAAUUCUUUAAGAAUUGAGAUUUUUGAGUUUACUGGAUGAUUCUAUACUUAUUUAAUAAAAAAUUCUCCAUAAAUUUUUUUUGGAGAAAUUGAAAUCUAGGGUUAGAAUUGGAAUUUUUGUCCCUAUGAGGUUUGAACUAAAUUGAUCCUCUAAUACUCUAAUUGAAGGUUAGAGGAGAGCCCUAGACGAUUUUAAUUUGAAAAUCGACGGGCGUUCAGUGAUCAAUUUCAAGUAAUGAACCGAACCGAGCGACGUUGGCUGUAUAGGCUCAAAAGGGAGCGAUUGGCCGUAGAAGCCCAAUUACAAGUAUCUACAAGCAAUCAGAAGCGUGUGAGGACCCGCCAGCAAUAAUAACUCAUUGGGCCAAACCACUGGCCCAAGAUGCUUAAGCACAGUUAUUAUUACUAGUGUGUAGGCUUCAUAUAAACUGAUCAGAAUCAGUAUCUCAUCCAAUGUGGGGCUAUUGGGGCGUUAUAAACUUCCCCUGUUUAGACCCUGAGGUUCUCGUCGGGUCCAAACCAAAUCAUAGACAGACAGACUUAUCAGGACCAGAAUUAUUAGGCGAUGUGAGAUUCUAGAUGUGGCUCCUGCGGGUUCAAGAGGUGGCUCCUACCAAAUCCGUUGGUGUAGCACUUUGUCCCGCAUAGCACUUAGCUCUCACACUUCCGGCUGGUAUUCGGCUCUGAUACCAAUUGUAACGACCCGACCCGCCAGCAAUAAUAACUCGUUGGGCCAAACCACCGGCUCAAGAUGCUUAAGCCUAGUUAUUAUUAGUAGCGUGUAGACCUCAUAUAAACUGAUCGGAAUCAGUAUUCCAUCCGAUGUGGGGCUAUUGGGGCAUUAUAGGUUGUGUACCACCAAAGUGAUUAGGUCACUUCUACGCUAAAGAGUAAAAUUUAUAUUAUCUCAUUGAUGCAUAUAAUGGUAGUUUAAUUUGUGAAAUGAGUAGCCAUAAUUUGUAUGCUACUUAGGAUAAAUUAACUGCUAGUGGACAUGAAACUAGGCAAGUAGAAACAUAUAGGGUAUAUAUAUGCAUGGCUAGGUGUGAUAAUGAACAUAAGUUGAUUAACUCUAGAAAAAUUAGAGAACUCGAUAAGUGAGAAGUCAAGGACCAGACGUCACAUGAAUUAUGAAUUCUACGUGUGGACAACUAGGAUAAAAAAGAACUUGAUUGAAUAUUGAACCUAGUAUCGUUGAACAUAAGUCGAAAAAUAUAAUGGUAGGAUGACCACUUGGACAUGAGAACAUGGACCUAGGGAGGUUGACAUUAUAGGGUAAAUGGUGAAGCCUUGAGACUUGAAAAGUGAAUUUUAGAAUCUCAAGACUUGUGAUUAUGGAAGAUUCUUAGUCGUGGGUGUAUAUGGCAUGUUUCUCUCCCACCGCAAUACCUUUGUAAGCUAGGAUGCAUAUGUUAUGUUCCUCACCCUAUCGGGGAUCUUUGGCCAUGGAUGUAUGUGACAUGUUCCUCUCCCACUUGAGAAUCUCUCACCUAGGGUGUAUGUGGCUUGUUCCUCACUCAUCGGGCGACAUGGCAUCAGAGGUGCAUGUGGUAUAUUCUUCACCUGCCAAGUGGAUUUAAGGCUGAGAUACAUGUAGCACGUUCCUCUCCUCAGGCCUGAAUAAUGAGCGGUAGUCCACUGAUAAUUGACUCAAGACCAAGUCAGAUGGUAUAGUUUGGCUGAGGCAAGAGAAAUCUUAAGAGCGGAAUGGAUAGUGAAAUUGAAAGUAGGAGAGGUAUAUCUACUUACAUUGAUUUCAUUCUUACAUUUACUUAAGGCAUAAGUAUGGAUAGUUUCUUAUUUGCAUAUAGUAGAGUUAUAUACUUACAUAGUUAUAUAUUUAUAUAUUGGAUUAACCUUUAUAUUGCCUCUUUUGAACUUGAUAGGUCGAUCUCUUCUUUCGGGUAGCCAUACUUACUGGGAAUUAUAUUUAUAAUUUUCACUUUCAUAUUUUUCAGAUCCACACGUAAGUGACACGGCGGUGUAAGGAAAGGGCGUAGCUCGAUAGAUAGCGCCCUACCACUUUGUGACCAAGAUAGAUGUAUCCGUGGAUCUGUAUAGCUUAAGGGUAUUAAAAAUAAUGAAAGAAAAUGUAAUCAAAUUUGAUUGUAUUUGGAAGAAAAAAAAUGUAAAUAUAAUAUGAAUGUGACGAAUACUUGUAAUAGCAUAGUUGUUUUAUAUUUUUGAUACUUUCUUAUACAAUAUGUAUAUAAAUUUUGUUCAUAUAUAUUUGGAAUAUUUUGAAUUAUACUGAUUAUGACGUCUUGGGUGAAUAUGAAAAAUUCUGUCCGUUUGGCGGGUCUGGCACGUGUAGGACUCCUUCCAUCUAUUUGGAGAAAGGACGACGGGACACGACAGAAAAAUAAAUUCUAAAGUGGAACAUUCUAAUAUUUAUCGCCCUUUCUUUUGGGUCCGUCCUAAUUUAAGUUUUUUAAGAAUAAUGAUCAUUUUGUAUUCUUUAGCAUGGUAUCAAAGUAGAAAUUUAUGAGUUCUAGUUUCCGUUAGGCUCCUAUGAUUAUUUAAUUAAGCUUAUGUCUUAAGUCUCUUAAAAAGUUUCGAAAUUGGCUUUUUAUUCAAAAAGGAUGCUAAACUAGAUUAAUCCAAUCAUUUGCUGAACUUACAUGCCAAUAAAGUCUACUACUAGCUAGGUUGUGAAAUUAACAAGUGCUUAUAAGAGGCAAAUCAGUUUUAUUGAGUCACGACAAAUUUGAGUAAUGAUUAGAGACCAGAUCCCUGCAUAUCAAUCUCAAUAUCAACAUCACCUAUAUAUAAAUAUGGGGCAAUUGCUUAUAUAUUCCUGAAAAAUUUCUGAAUUUCAGAUUUACCCCUCUUAGAAGGCUAAUAUUAAAAAUACCUUUUUUACGUUCAACCUAUUUCUAAUAUAUCCCUAGGUUAAAAUCUGUUAAUGAACUCUGUUAUCUCUGUAAAAUUACUAUUUUGCCCUUUCAAAUAUAUCCUUCUGUCAUCACCGACUUUUUUUAUUUGUCCUUAAGUUAGGGCUACAAAAAGAAUUUUACUUUUUAAUUUUUUUAAAUAUACUCUUCUACCAUCACCAAUAUUUUUUAUUUGCCAUUAAGUUAAGGACAAAAGUGGUAUUUUAUUUUUUUUAAACUGUGGUAGAUAUUUAAUUCACGUUUAAUCCAAAUUAACUUAACGAGUGGUAACUGUAGGGAUAUUUUGGAAUAACGGAGAAAUAUAUAAGGGAUAUAUUAGAAAGAAAAAAAUAAAGAUAAAUAAAAUAUUUUUAAAUUUUUGAAGGGUAUAUAGGCAAUAAUCCCUAUAAAUAUAUGUCAUAAUAUAGUGCCAUCACUCUCUCUUAUCUCACUAUUAUUAUUUUAUGCUAUAAUAGUAAUUUCACUGUAAUAGUAUAUGUGGUCCCAAUGCUCUUUCAAAGGAUUUUGUUGUUAUUUUAUAGAAACAUAUGCAGCUUUUGGUCCAAAGCAAAUCGAUUGGCGACAUGUUGAUAGCCUUUCAAAAAGACUUUUUCAUUAGCUUCUCGUGUCACCAAUAUAUACUAGUUAAGCAACCCUGCGCGAAACUGUAAAAAGUCAAUACAAUAGUAAAUUAUUAAAAUUAUUAAUAUUAAUUUUUUUUCUAUUAUGCAUUAAUAUUUUUAAAUAUUAUUUAUUUUCGUAUUGAAUAAUUAAAAAUUAAAGAAUAAACUAAAGAAUGAAAUUAAAGUAUAUUUCUUUCUAAAAUUAUUUAAAUCUAAUAAGUAAAAUGAAUAAAUCGGUUUAAAAUAAAACAACAGCUCAUUACAGUAUUAAGAAAGAUAAAUAAUAUUUCUCUAUUAUCAUCAAGAUAGAAUUUAUAAGAAAAAAUAAAAAAAAACUAAGUGGAGUGAAAGUACUAUCUUUAGUAUAAUUAAUGAAGACGUUGUUUUAUUUUAAACCGAUUUAUUCAUUUUACUUAUUAGAUUUAAAUAUUUUUAGAAAGAAAUAUACUUUAAUUUUAUUCUUUAGUUUAUUCUUUAAUUUUUAAUUAUUCAAUACGAAAAUAAAUAAUAUUUAAAAAUAUUAAUGCAUAAUAGAAAAAAAAAGUAAUGUUAAUAAUUUUAAUAAUUUACUAUUAUAUUGACUUUUUGCAGUUUCGCACAGGGGUUGCUUAACUAGUAUAUAUCGGUGACGCGAGAAGCUAAUGAAAAAGACUUUUUGAAAGGCUAUCAACAUGUCGCCAAUCGAUUUGCUUUGGACCAAAAUAAAAAAUAAAAAAAGGGAGGUACACAUACAACUAAUAAAAUAUUUGAUUCCUAAAUUUAAAUUAGCGAAGAAAUCAGUAGGUAAUUAUCAGAAACACAAAAAAUAUAACUAAUCAAAAGACAUGCGAAAUCAAAAUAAAUAUUUUUUACACUGUAAAAGAUUCAACUAUCAAAUAUUAUAUUUUUAUUAUAUAUAUUAAUCCUUAAAAAAUUAUUUGUGAACUAAAGUGAAAAACAUGCAAAGUUUAGAUAUUAGAGACCAAAAUAAAAAAGAGUGAAAAAAUUGGGACCCAAUGUGCAAUUAAUCCUUCAAAAAAUUGGUGUGGGCCCCACAACCUUUCAAAAUAAAGGGAGGUCUUUUCUUGGGUUCCAAAUUAGCGUAUAAAUAAAUAGAUUAUAAAUAAAUAUUGUGAAAGAGAGUGAGAGAGUGUGAGAGAGAGAAACAAAAAAAAAAAAGUGGGCCCCACAGGGCCCCCUGUCACGUCUCGGAUUACAGCGGAAGUCCGGAUUACGUCAACAGAUCCGCCGCAUGCACAAAGAUACACCUUAUACAUACGAAGCGUCAACAAAAUUAACUAAAAUCUAACAAUAAUAGGUAUCAGAGAAAAAUAAAACUAUAUACUAUAGUAACACUAUAACGAUUUACAAGCAUCACCACACUAGUCUUCAAAAUAGUACAACAUUUUUUACCAUUCCAAGUAUCAAAUAAUUGUACAGACUGCUCGCUAAUAGGUGAUCCAACUAUACAUUAAGAAGGGUAGGAGAUGCUAUCUAUCCACAAUCCCCUUAUCUAGAUCAGUCGCUGGUGUUGAAGGCUCUGAAAUAAAAUAUUAAAUAAGAAGGCAUGAGAACUAUAAUCAAUAGUUCCCAGUGGGUACGAUCAUCAACACUGACGGUCUACCACUAUGUCCAUAAGAUGCAAAAAUAGUAAAUACUGAGCAAUAUGAAAAAACAGGUACUAAUAUGAAUAAUUGCCGAAAAUAACUAUUACUAUCAUGCCUCUACAAUAUAGCUGAAAUUAUAAAUUAUAUUUUAUGGAUGCAUUAGUUAGAGAUUAAAUAAAAUACUACAAUAAUGCCUAAUCAUAGUGACCGACUCAACAGUCGAGUUUAGCCUACGCCGCCUCGUGUCCAGCACCCACCUACAGUGGUCUGCUACCACACAAGUUACUGUCUAGCCCAUGCCAUAAUAAUAUCUCAUAGCCCAAAUACCGAGUAUAGUAUCACUAUCAAACUCAACAUAGCGUGCUGAUUGUGGUCAAAUGCAAUGAUCAAACAGAUCAUGAUAAUACUGUCAUAAUGUCUAAAAUACAGUUAUAGUCUACACUCUCUGUAGUUGUUUAUUGAUCUUCAGAAAAAUAUCAAAUAUAUAUAUAUCUCCAUUUACUCUACUAACAGGUAUCAAAGUACCGUAAUUAUCUCAACUAUAUCAAUAGUUCAUCUCACAGAUUAAAUAAUAUAAUAUGGAUAUAGAAAUUAGUCCGUCAAUUUUGACAACACGAAACUCACCUAUAACGCAAGUCCAAGAAAAUGAACGGUAAACGAGAUAGCAGCUACAACACUCUAAAAUAACUCGAAAAUUCCUCAUCAAGAUUACGCGAAAUCCGCUUCUAAAAUGUAUAAAAAAAAUCAGUUUCUAACUCUCAAUUUCUACCAAAUAUUUAGCAAAAAAAUCUAAACGAGAAAUAAUAAUAUUGUGAUACUAACUACAACGUCGAAACACCAAAAAUAAACACGCACCCCCCCCCNNNNNNNNNNNNNNNNNNNNNNNNNNNNNNNNNNNNNNNNNNNNNNNNNNNNNNNNNNNNNNNNNNNNNNNNNNNNNNNNNNNNNNNNNNNNNNNNNNNNNNNNNNNNNNNNNNNNNNNNNNNNNNNNNNNNNNNNNNNNNNNNNNNNNNNNNNNNNNNNNNNNNNNNNNNNNNNNNNNNNNNNNNNNNNNNNNNNNNNNNNNNNNNNNNNNNNNNNNNNNNNNNNNNNNNNNNNNNNNNNNNNNNNNNNNNNNNNNNNNNNNNNNNNNNNNNNNNNNNNNNNNNNNNNNNNNNNNNNNNNNNNNNNNNNNNNNNNNNNNNNNNNNNNNNNNNNNNNNNNNNNNNNNNNNNNNNNNNNNNNNNNNNNNNNNNNNNNNNNNNNNNNNNNNNNNNNNNNNNNNNNNNNNNNNNNNNNNNNNNNNNNNNNNNNNNNNNNNNNNNNNNNNNNNNNNNNNNNNNNNNNNNNNNNNNNNNNNNNNNNNNNNNNNNNNNNNNNNNNNNNNNNNNNNNNNNNNNNNNNNNNNNNNNNNNNNNNNNNNNNNNNNNNNNNNNNNNNNNNNNNNNNNNNNNNNNNNNNNNNNNNNNNNNNNNNNNNNNNNNNNNNNNNNNNNNNNNNNNNNNNNNNNNNNNNNNNNNNNNNNNNNNNNNNNNNNNNNNNNNNNNNNNNNNNNNNNNNNNNNNNNAAUAACUCAAAUUCAAUCCCCCCCCCCCCCCUUUUUUAUUUUGUUUUCCUUUUUCUCUUGGUCGACCUCACUUUCCCUCUCCUUCUCUUUUUCUUUUUUUUUUUUGCCUUAUCGAAAGUGAUAAGGCUCAGGCGUGCCUCUUAAGGCAUGCAUGAAGGCUACGUGGCCACCAAGGAAUAUACAAAGGGAAAAAAAAAAAACAAAAAGACCCCUCAAGAUCAAAUAUUUCGACUUUAGUCCAAAACAAUUAAAUCUUGAGUUUUAAAGUUCGUUUUUACGCCUAUUUUGUACAAAACGUCUCCAACUCAAUCAAACAUAAAUUUAUACUGUAAUCUUGCCAAUUUGUUAAGGUUCAGUAUAUCACAACCCCAAACCCGGGGAGCCCUCGUAUGGGUUCUCAAUUCAUGUACUUAAUUAUUUAUAAAUAGAGAGAGUCCGGUUAUGAUAUUUUUAAAAGUAUAAAAUAUUUGGUGCUCGUAAGUUUUUCACCGUUAAAUUUAUUCCUUUGAUUAUUUUUAUCUGCCAUAUCAUAUUANAUAUAUAUAUAUAUAUAUAUAUACUAUCGGUAACAUACGAGCUCCGCUGCUAUCGAUUUAUUAUUAGUGAUGGAGCCUCCAAAUCGACAAUCGGUAUCAUUGAAUGAUUUGAACCACAUGACGUAUUUAGAAAUUAAAUUUUAAAUUUUUUCGACAUCAGUGGCCUAAUAAUUAAAGGAUUGCAAAAAUUAUAAUUUAAUGGUCAAUACGAAAUAUUUUCUCGCUUAGUAGUGUAAAAAAAUUCAAAUCAGUUGAAAUUUUGUUAAAAAAAACUUGAAACUAUUUAAAGCAAGAUCUAUGCUCUGAUCUCAAUUACAAAAAUCUCAUGAUUACUUUCUGAAAGAUAUUUUUUUCCGACCCUUCAUUCUUUGUAUCCGCUUGAUGUACGAAAAAUUAAUAUUGGAAAAACAUAAAAUCGAUUUAUAGAAACUUUAAGUGGUCUAAAACUCUAAAUUAUAUUCAACAGUCCCGAUCAUCGAUUCGGAAACUCCAUCAUCGAAGAUAAAUUAAUAGCAAAGAAGUUCGUUUGCUUUUAGCUGAACUCUCUCUAUAUAUAUAUAGGGUGCGUUUGAAUUAUAUUAUUAGACCAAAUAUAAAAUUAUUUGGUGUAAGUUUGAGCAGUCUAAGGGUGGUGCCAAGACAUUUACCGAAAAACUAAUAUGUGGCAGUGGAUUUUGGGCUCCUGACUCCUUAAUGAGGCGUCGUUGGGGAGCACCUACUAAAGCUUCAUUAGUUCACUCAUCCCAUCAUCGAUUUUAAAAAAAUAUUUCUUAUUGUACUUUUUUUUCUCCAAUAGAAGGAUUUGAUUGGUUAGAACACAAAUGAUGUGGUGUGAUCUCCACCAGGAUUAACAAUCUAGCUCGCUCGAAAUGAGAUUCGAGAUCGAUUGGUUGUUUAAUAAAUGAGCCAAACAUAAGCUAAACAUUUCAAAUUUUUACAACUUAAAGUUUAGAUCAACUCAUAUAUAAAGAAGCCUAUAUUUUAUAAAUUUUAAUUAUUAGAUUGAAAUUUUAAUUUUCAAAUUUUCUUUCAACUUUUCAUUCGGUAGUGGUGGAGCUAGAAAGCUAACUUAUUGUUCGUGAGUCAGCUUGUAUUAGACUCAUCAAUAAGUAAGCUAAGUAUAAAGUAAAUUUUUUAGCUCAAUAUUUUAACAUAUCGAAUACAAGAUUGUUGACAACUCUGAAUGUCUAAUUGUACAAAAGCAAAACCCUAUUUUUAUAUUAUAUUUAUUAUAAUUCUGAUCAAACUUUCAAAUACUUGCCAGAUUCAAUCAUCCUGAACGUGUCGAUCUCAGCGUCACCAUCACAUCUUUCAAUAAGAAUAAAACCUUUUUUACCCCACCAUUACUUUAUUUCAAAAAAGUGCAAGGGAAUAUGCUUGAUUGACCAUAAGAUUUUGUGGUUAUUUUAUUAAGAAUGAUGUGGCAGCUGUUUGGUCCAAAAGCAGAUUAUCAGUGUGGACUCUUGAUAUCCUCGAAAAUCACUUCCUUUCUUGGCUUUGUCAAAUAUAUAUAUAUAUAUAUAUAUAUAUAUAUAUAAAGAUNNNNNNNNNNNNNNNNNNNNNNNNNNNNNNNNNNNNNNNNNNNNNNNNNNNNNNNNNNNNNNNNNNNNNNNNNNNNNNNNNNNNNNNNNNNNNNNNNNNNNNNNNNNNNNNNNNNNNNNNNNNNNNNNNNNNNNNNNNNNNNNNNNNNNNNNNNNNNNNNNNNNNNNNNNNNNNNNNNNNNNNNNNNNNNNNNNNNNNNNNNNNNNNNNNNNNNNNNNNNNNNNNNNNNNNNNNNNNNNNNNNNNNNNNNNNNNNNNNNNNNNNNNNNNNNNNNNNNNNNNNNNNNNNNNNNNNNNNNNNNNNNNNNNNNNNNNNNNNNNNNNNNNNNNNNNNNNNNNNNNNNNNNNNNNNNNNNNNNNNNNNNNNNNNNNNNNNNNNNNNNNNNNNNNNNNNNNNNNNNNNNNNNNNNNNNNNNNNNNNNNNNNNNNNNNNNNNNNNNNNNNNNNNNNNNNNNNNNNNNNNNNNNNNNNNNNNNNNNNNNNNNNNNNNNNNNNNNNNNNNNNNNNNNNNNNNNNNNNNNNNNNNNNNNNNNNNNNNNNNNNNNNNNNNNNNNNNNNNNNNNNNNNNNNNNNNNNNNNNNNNNNNNNNNNNNNNNNNNNNNNNNNNNNNNNNNNNNNNNNNNNNNNNNNNNNNNNNNNNNNNNNNNNNNNNNNNNNNNNNNNNNNNNNNNNNNNNNNNNNNNNNNNNNNNNNNNNNNNNNNNNNNNNNNNNNNNNNNNNNNNNNNNNNNNNNNNNNNNNNNNNNNNNNNNNNNNNNNNNNNNNNNNNNNNNNNNNNNNNNNNNNNNNNNNNNNNNNNNNNNNNNNNNNNNNNNNNNNNNNNNNNNNNNNNNNNNNNNNNNNNNNNNNNNNNNNNNNNNNNNNNNNNNNNNNNNNNNNNNNNNNNNNNNNNNNNNNNNNNNNNNNNNNNNNNNNNNNNNNNNNNNNNNNNNNNNNNNNNNNNNNNNNNNNNNNNNNNNNNNNNNNNNNNNNNNNNNNNNNNNNNNNNNNNNNNNNNNNNNNNNNNNNNNNNNNNNNNNNNNNNNNNNNNNNNNNNNNNNNNNNNNNNNNNNNNNNNNNNNNNNNNNNNNNNNNNNNNNNNNNNNNNNNNNNNNNNNNNNNNNNNNNNNNNNNNNNNNNNNNNNNNNNNNNNNNNNNNNNNNNNNNNNNNNNNNNNNNNNNNNNNNNNNNNNNNNNNNNNNNNNNNNNNNNNNNNNNNNNNNNNNNNNNNNNNNNNNNNNNNNNNNNNNNNNNNNNNNNNNNNNNNNNNNNNNNNNNNNNNNNNNNNNNNNNNNNNNNNNNNNNNNNNNNNNNNNNNNNNNNNNNNNNNNNNNNNNNNNNNNNNNNNNNNNNNNNNNNNNNNNNNNNNNNNNNNNNNNNNNNNNNNNNNNNNNNNNNNNNNNNNNNNNNNNNNNNNNNNNNNNNNNNNNNNNNNNNNNNNNNNNNNNNNNNNNNNNNNNNNNNNNNNNNNNNNNNNNNNNNNNNNNNNNNNNNNNNNNNNNNNNNNNNNNNNNNNNNNNNNNNNNNNNNNNNNNNAGAGAGAGAGAGCGAGAGAGAGAGAGAGAGAGAGUUGAGCUAAAAUAUUAUCGAUAGCAAACGAACUCUGUUGCCACCCAUUUAUUUUCGAUGAUGGAGUCUCCAAAUUGAUGAUCGGCACCGUUGAAAAUAAUCUAUACCACUUAAAGUGUUUAAAAAUCAAAUUUCAUACAUUUCCGAUAUUGUUCUCUUAUCCAUCGAGUGGACACAAAAAUGAACGGCUGAAAAUGAAUAUUCUUUAAAAAAUGAUGAUAGGAGUCUUGUAAUCAAGAUUAAGAGUAUAGAUCUUGUUUUAAAUAGUUUAAAGAAUUUUCUAACAAAAAUUCAAUUGAUUUGGAUAUCUUUACGCCGUUAAACGAAAAAAACUUCAUAUCGACUAUUAAAAUUAUAAAUUUUGGAACCCUUUAAUCAUUAGGCAAAUGAUAUCGAAAAAAUUUGAAAUUUGAUUUCUAAAUACUUCAAGUGGUAUAGUUCAUGUUCAACGGUGCCGAUCGUCGAUUUUGAGGCUCUAUCAUCGAAAACAAAUGAAUGGCAACGGAGCCCAUUUGCUAUCGAUAGUAUUCUAGCUCAACUCUCUCUCUCU